rnacentral:lncRNA from 1 species
AUAGUUUGAUUGACUGACGUAUUAGUAUGUUACUGACAGACAUUGGGCUAAAGUGAGAUAAGUUGACUGUUAGAACGUUGAGUGAAAGAACUUUAUAUUUUGAAGUAACUGAAAGAUGGUACGAAUGGAUUGAGGGGAAAAAUUGUUAGCUUUUAUUGGGAUGUGUGCCUUGUAGGUGUCCCACGGGAUCACCAAUUAUUCUGCACCUUCGGGAGCAUUAGACUGAUAUGUGUUUCUGCAGAACACUACACUGAAAUGUACGUCCCUCGGGCGUUAGACUGAAAUGUGCAUCCUACGGGAUCACAAGACUGCGACUGUACAGGGUGUCCCAAUAGAAUGUUAACAAUUUAUUUUUCCCCUGACGGGACCAGUAGAGGGUCUCUUACUGGGUAUUUUUAUACUCACCCUUCUUAUGUUUAAUUUUCAGGCAAAGGUAAUAAAGGCGGCAAACCGGCGAGGGGCAGGAAGGAAGUGUGAUUGCCAUAGGAAAUGUGUUAUUUUGCUUCCGCUUAUUGUUUUUUUUAGGUUUAAGACGUUGUAUUGAAACUUAGCUUACAAACUUUUAUUUGUAAAUAGUACUUUUUUUAAGUUUUUGGAAUAUUUGAAAAUCAGGCCUGACUUAAAGUUGUUUUUCAAUUGGCUUACAUUUCAUUUUGUAUCAACCAAAGUCUUUUGUCAAAAAUUAACGACCUCGACUUACCUAGAAAAGUUGGGUCGUUACAGUUGGUCUUUGUUUUUGUCACUUUCUCAAAUAAUAAAGUAUGUGUUCUAUGGACUUAAUUAUUAUAACUUAUUUUGCCAUUUUCGCAAGUGUCCCUUAAUUGUAAUACAUGUAUAUGUGACAUAAUCUAAUCAAACUAACUCAUAAAUGGACUUAAUCGAUCUCAUGGACCACAAAUUCUUCAAUUACUUGCAAAUUUGGUGAGUUCCUUCAAACGGUGGGCGAAGAGCUUAAUUUUGAGAGAGAGAGGAAAAGUCGUGAAGAGUAUUUGCGAGAGAGGGGGGAACGUCGCCAGAGAGCAUUUGCGAGAGAGCUAAAGACAGUGACGAUGUGGGAUGAAGUAAGGUUUUUUUCGGUCAUUGUUCACAAGUGGGAUGAAAGCUUCGAAUUAUUUGUUUUAAAAUCAAAAAGCGAUAUGAUUGAAGGAAAACAUUGAUUUUUUAUUAGGGUAAUUUUUAAUGACACAUAAUUUAUGCCAUUAUUUACAAUGCGAAAAUUUUGUCAAGAAAACUCAAUUUGUGUCACAAAAAAUUUUGUAUUUUUAUUUUUAACGACACAUUUUAUUCCCUCAUAUCCCUUUUUCUUGAUUUCAAGUGUCAUUAAAACUUAUAUUUCUAAAUAAAUUUAUUCGACGAAAGUGGCUAGAUUGGUGGGUUUGACGGCGAAGGCUUGUUGUGGGAGCAACGACAACAGUGGUUGGAGUGUGGAAUCGACGACGGCAAGUGGCAAAAAAUUGGAGGGCAAGGGUUCUUCAUAACGACUCGGUAGCCCACUUCGAACUUUUUUGAAAUUUGAGGUUUUUUCAUUUGAAAAUUUUUUUAAUGACAAAAAAAUUGUUAAUUAAUGACGCAAAAAUUGUUUUGAAAUAAAUUAAAUUGUGUCAAUAUGAUUGUUUUAAGAAAUAAUCCAUAUUUUUAUUUUCAACAACACAAUGUACCUCAUCCCACCUCUUUUUUCUUUUAUUUUCAACGACACAAUGUCUUGAUUAAAAUCCAUUUUUCUAGUAGUGACUGAAAAAAAAACUGGACAAAAUCAUAAUAUCUUUGAUAAUUAAAUCACCAGUUGGUUUGAACAUAUAUAAUCUUGGAUCUAUUCUAUUAUGAUAUGACCAUGGUACAUCAUGAACAUACAUUGACUAAAAAACUUAAAUUGAUGAGUGAAUGUAAUAAAUUUAAUAUUAAUUAUAUGAUCAAUACUUUACACAUGUAUAUUGGUAUAUCAGUCAAUAACAGUAGUAAGACAAAUUAUAAAAUAUAAGGGAUAAAAGUCCUACACAUGCAUGUAUGGUAUACUCUCUUGAUAGCAAAAUGCAUUUAUGUCAACUCAUGUUUGAAUGCAUUUAUGUAGGAAAUUCAAUAAAAUAAUUAAGAAACCUUGCAAUAUGUGAGAGAUAUACGAACUUCAAACAAAUUUUACAAGUUUCAGCAAAAAUUUUCAAACAACUUUUAAAGUUUAAGCAAAAAGUAACCGUAGGUAGGAAGGGGAGCAAAAGUGGGGUCUCGAAUUAAUUCUGAAAAAUUAGUAGGCUUUCAAAAUUUAGGUUCUAGAAGUAGAAUUAUUGCAGAAAAAUAAAUAAUUGCAUCAUUCAAAUUGAAUCAAACAUAUCAGGAUGUUAUAUUCUCCACAACGUAUAAUGGAGUAUAAACAUAAAGUUUCUAUAUACAAAGCUAUGUAUCUCUACCCUUGACUUCUCUUUCUCUCUUUCUACCUUUUUUAUCCUUUCUUUCUCCCAUUCACUCAAUACACUUGCAAGAACCUUCAUUUUUUUUGUAUUUAAAUUUUCUUGGCACCAUCCUUUUUUUAAUUAUCAAGGCUUUGUUAUUGUGUACCAGUAUUGUGUCGUGCCUCCUUCACUUCUCAUCAUCAUUUUCAUGUCACAUCUCUACCUUGUCAAUUUUCGUUUUUCACUCAGCUUUCUUUCUUCUUUUGUCUUCACUACUUUCUUCGCUCCUUCUUCUCAAGCUCUAACUUUUGCUAUUAUCAACCAGUCUCAAAUGACCAUUGGAAAACCUAUCGCCCACUGAGAGGCAGCCAAUAUAGUAAUGCCUCUAAUGAUAAACUCCAAUGAAAUCAAAAGUUCUUCUUUAAGAUUUGGAAAAAUAUAUUAGAUAAACUCGGACGUGGUGAACGCGGUGAACGCAGACGUGGUGAACGCGGACGGACGGACGGUGAACACGGCAGAAGUUAGAGAUCCUCAGAGAGAACUUGGCAUUUUCGAAUGCGGUAGAGACAAGUCUAGGGCUUCGAAGGAUUCUUCUUUCUAUCCAAAGUAAGCCAGUUAUGGAGGGAGGAAUACACAUUAGAGAGCUCAGUUAUGGAUGGAGGAAUACACAACUUUUUCUCAUGGUCAUUUUCCUCGUGGGCAUUCUCUUCAUGUUUCUUCUUAUUCCGACUAAAAUACAAGCACAAAUUAUUCUUCGCCUUCGUAUAGGUUUGUUUGAAGAAGAUUAAAAAAGUCCUUAAUUUAUCUCGACACUUCCAAAACCAGAAUAUAAUACCCGUGCUACAUAAAUCCCUCUUUCCAAAUAGUCGAACAUGAACUAUCCAUGCAUAUCUUGGAAUAAACAAGAGAAACCCUAACUAAACCCAAAUAGAAAAUACGUUGCAAUCUAAAAUAUACUUAAAGAAACAAAAAGAAGUUUUAAUGCUGUGGGUUUUUUACUGAUCUUCUUCAACAACAAAAUAACUCAACGCCACACUUCAAUUUUUCCUUCCACGAAUUGGGCUUUUAAAGAGUUUUCACCACGAAUUUAUCUUUUUUGGUUCGACAAGUAACAACAUGUGAAUCCCCAAAUGCAAGGUUUUAUUAAAAAUUUAAAAUAUAAUUUUUUUAAAAAAAUUAUAAUACCUAAAAAUAUAUUUUUUAUAUUUAUAACCUAAUUUUCUGUCAUUGCAUACUUGAGAGAAAUAUAUUUUUCAAUUAGCAUAAUAACCUUUAUAUAGUAAAUUAAAUUUGUAGAAUGAGAAAAGACCUUAGAUCCAAAAAAGUUAUUUAUUUAUUAUUGGAGUGAAUUGUCUAAUUAAUGUAGUUAAUGGAUGGUUUUGUAACCAUAAAAAAAUAAUGAAAAUAAUUUUCUAAAAGAAUGAAUGAAAAUUUGGAAAGUUAAAAGGUUUUAGGAAUUAAAAAAAAGGGUGUAACAUUAUAAAAGACUACCAAAUAUACUGUAAGAGACAUGCAUUAAAGGAGCUGAGGCAUGCAUACUACCAAAUAUACUAUAAAUAAACCAGAAUUCUUUUUUAAGAAAUUAAACAACUAAUUAAAUAUAAAGAAGAAAGAUUAGAAAAUGAAUGAUCAAACAAACUAUGACUCAUUUAUUUUUGACAGGUUCGGCCAGUAUCACCUAACAAUUCAUUUUCACCAAGAGAAUAAACAUGAGUAGCCUUGGAAUCAAGUUAUAAAAGCCUUGAUGGGUUAGAGACAGAACCAGAAUUUGAGUUCAACGAUGUGGAUGCAAAAUUUUGAAACUAGCAGCAACAUGAAGUUAAGACAACGAAUUAUUUUCAAUAUAGAAAGGCUAAUUGUAAGAAGUUGUUAAUGAAGUGUCCAAAUGCAUUAUGGUAAUAUUGGGUGCAGAAUGUUUGGAAGUUUUAUCCGUGUGCUGUGAAGCACCACAGAGUUGAAGCAUAUGAAACCUGUGUUUAUCUGACAAAAAAUAGUGUCAUGAUCAUUGCCUUUCCAUUCCAUAAAUUUAUGGAUAGCAGAAGAAAGAGAACUCUCAACACUUGAAUCACCAUAUAGCACUCUACAUCCAGGUGGUGCCUUGAUUUUUGAAGAUUUAGUUAAAAGCAGUGAUAAAAUUGGUACAGAAAUUACAGUGCAUUUCUCGAUAUGCAACAACAUUAAGAGCAACUUAAAGACAACAAUCAUCAAGAAAUCUAGUAUUUAAAAUGUACAAAGAGCAGUAGUAAACAUAUGUAUUUUAUGGCUGACUUUAUCCAUAAUAAAUGUUGGAUUAAAUCAUCAAAAUAAAACACAAAUAGAUAAUUAUCGAGUUUUUCAAUGGAGGAUAGAGAGGAAGACAUGCAUGCACAACUACUAGAUCUAUAUGGUGCCAGACUGCCAGUAAAAAUUUAAAGACACACAUGACAACAUUAUUUUGGAUGAAGUUCUAAUAUUGCAACCAUGGAGGAAAAAUCAGCAAAUCUUAAAUAGAUGUAGUAGUCCAAAUGAUAAAAGUUUGUCUCAAGAUAAUAUUUUAGUAACUGCAGAUGCAUUGUGUUGAACCUAACCUCUUGUGUUUCACGGUAAUGAACAAGGACAAUGUGUUCAAAGGUCCUGAACAAAAAGCAGAAGAAAGUCAUAAAUUAUAUAAGUAGAACACGAUAUACUGCCACUGUCUAAUUUCAUUUUUCUUUGCUUGUGGCAUGAUGGGGAUAGACCCCACUGAAACAACUGGUAGCAAGCAAUUUAACAAUUUUCUUUCAACCAUAACAUACUUAUCUAGGAGCCAAUAACACCGGCGAACAAAGGUUGGGCUAUCUAGUCCAUGGGCAUAGUAUACAUGUAAUCUUUCUACAUUACCAACAUGCUGAAGAGAAAGAAAAGAUUAUCAAAGCACACCUUUUCUUGGUUAUUAAGGCUGUAAAAGAAUGAAAAUUACCAUAAAUCUAAACACAGUUAAUAUUAGACCAUUGAACAACCUAUAGAUUCAAAAGAAAAGACUCAAACCACCAAUAGACUGGUUAAUCAUUUAAACUGAUCUCCAACAACAUGAUACGCAGUAUAUCGUGCUAGAUCCAUAAUUACCACAUGUGGACUCCUAUGGUAAUUUCAUUGAUGAUACACAGCUAGUAGGCAAGAUUAUGAAAUGAAGACGGUAUGUGAGAAGAUUGAAAAGAUCAACAUGAUAAAAUUAUAGGGAUUUGAAUUUAUAUCUUAAGAACACCAGAGUCAAAUGCUUAAGCUGAUUAACUGUGUUAAAUUUAACUCUAUAAUAUAUUUUAAAUCUGAACAGUCAUUAAACAACUACAUUUUGAAUAAGCUUUAGAGAAUAUUAGCAAAAGCAGUAGAAAUUACUUCAAAUUUGUAGAGAAAGCACAUAAAUUAUAUUCUAGAGAAAGAGCAUCUGAAUUAUAUUCUACAGAAACACGAGCCCAUAGCAUGUCUACGGAGUAGCAAUGACAGUGAAAAAGGGAAUAGUAAGUAACUAAUCUCAUAAACCCCUUUCUCACAUCUAACCAAGUUCUUUCACAACAUGCAAAAGCAUCAAAAUAUUUAAGAAAACUUCCAAUAUUGCAUUUGGAACUCAUUGAUUGACUUCAACGUUUAAGAGUCAUAAAAGAUACAGCUUACUUUCUCACCUGUCACCACUAAGCCUACGGCAACAUCUUUUUAUAAGAUAUUCAGCUAAUCUUUAGAUUGUUUACCGAAUAAUCGUCUAUUGUUUUGUAAUUGAUCCCACCAAGCGCUUGCGCCACCUUGAAGUUUGAGAGCAACUAAUCGAACCUUCUUGUGUUCGGGUGUAUUGGCAUAGUCGAAAAAAAUUUCUACGUUCUUGAUCCAAUCAAGAAACUUCUCCACGUCCAUUCGACCAUUGAAGGUAGGGAGAUCCACUUUCAUACGUAUUUCUUGAUCUUCUUGAAAGUAUGGUCGAAGUCCAAACCUUUGUUGAGGUUCUUGAUGAAUGUUCAACAAGUUGUCUUCAUCGAAAGAGUCAGAAUCGUUUAAGAAAUUUCCAAGUACGUUGUUUCCAUACAAUCGAUUAUUGUGGAUGUGAAUAGGUUGAUUUCUUAGUAGUUCUUGGUUUACAACAGGGUUUAUUGGUCUUUCUUGUCUUUCUUGGUUUGCUGCAAUUGGGUUUCUUGGGGGAUGAAUUGCUUCUUCUAAAGGUUGGACAUGAAAUCGGGUAAAAAGGUUUGUUAAUUCUACUAACGAUUGCUGUAUAUUCGACUGCCCUUUUCGAAGUUCUUCAAUAGCUUGUUCUACCAACUGCAAGCCUUGGUUGAAGGAGGCUUCUGCGUCCAUGGAUAAGAGUGGUAGGAUCCAAGUUUUUUAGGGAAGAGUGAGCUAGGAUCACGCUCUGAUACCAAUUGAUGCAGUAAUUGCAAAGCUAGAAAUCUUUAUGUAUAAUGCCUCUUUUUUUUUAUGUCUUAUUAAUGAAAAUGAGAAGCUUUUUUAUAGGCUGGAGAUUACGAGAGUUGUUAAACUAACUUAGGGUUGAGUUAGUUUAACUUGGAGUUGAGUUAGUUAUAACUAACUCAAGAUACAAAAUUGGUAAUUCAAAUAACUAAUCCUAAACUAUAAAAAUGGUAAUUCAAACCACUCCUCUAGGAUAAAACUCAAGAAACAUCAAGAAGGGAGAUGUUCUACAUCAAAGUGUAGAGAACGAUUCAAAAUCCUUGGUGAAAUGAAUGAAUGUUAACUAAUGUGUGUUUAUGUGAAAUUGUUAUGUUAUGAGUAUGUUAAGGAUAAAGAAAGGUUUAUGCGAGAUAAAAUUAUUUGAUGUUGUUUAUGCGAAAUGAUGUUUAUGAAAAGGUAUUGCGAAAAGGAUUUCAUAAAACCUUAGUCUUUUAGACAUUCUUUCAAAAAUUCAUCUUCCAAGAUGAGGUGUUUAGGCCAAGUAGAGAAGAAGGUUGAAGGAUUUGCAGCGAGAUGACCAGACGUUUUGAAAAUAGUUAAGCAUUGGUUGUUUGGUCAAAGUGUUGUAAUUAUGUAUCAAACACAUGUUAUUAAUAAACAUCUUGGUCAUCGACCCUAAAGCUCUUGCAAUCCGACCCCUAACUCUCUCAUCGCCUCCUCAAAAAUCCAAAUCCUUCAAUUCCAGUCCUCAUCCAAAAAUUGAACCUCCCCCUCAUGAAUCUUACCCAAGUCCUCUCGCAUGUCUAUUAUCCUCUCACCACCAAAUCCCCCAUCAUUAUAACAACAUCCUUCACCUCACGACCUGACCGAACAAGCCCUUACCCGAUCAAAAGGGCAUUGUUAGCGAAGAAAAAUUCCUUAGGGUUGAGGAGGAAGACCUGCAUCACAUUCCUCUCCCUCCGCACACUACUAUACGUAAUUCCAAGGAGGAAGACUUACAUCUCGCGUGUAAACCCCGAUACUCAAUAAUCCUUAAUUCAUCUAAAGAACUCAAUAGGACAUUAGGGGUUGAUGUUAGGAGAAAGAUGGUUUAAGAUUAAAUAGUUUAGUUGAAGUGUUAUGGAAGAUGUGUUAAUAUUUUUAAGAUGACAAAAGAAAAGUGUCAUCGUAACAAAGAAAGGCCUAAAGGGUGUUUGAAAUAUGGCUAAGUGUUGGCUAGGGCAUGUUGCAUACUCUAGGCGGCCAAAAGUGUCAAGCGAACCUCUAAAGAGACAUGUUGGGUGGCCAAAGGUUGAGAUGUGGUAUGGCCAAAGGUUGAGAUGUGGUAUGGCCAAAGGGUGAUAGCUCUCAUCAGUAGACUUUCCAUUGCUGGUUUCUUCCUUAGUCAUCAUUGUAUUGUUGUUUUCCACAAUAGAUAGGGUGAGUUGCAGUUUUACAUGAAAUGCACUGCUCAACCCACUCUUUUCUCACUAGUUCCUUAUUCUCAAUCUUCAACGCAAAUUUCAUCAUCUGGGCCAACCCAAUCGGUUCCACAGUUUCCACUUCCAUUUUUAUUCAUGGGCUAAGCCCAAUCAUCAAAGUCUCCUCUAAAACUACCGUUUGAAGAAAUGCUACUAGAGCUAAAUAUCGAUCAUUUUCUGUUUGAUUGAGAAAAAUCUUCCAACCAAAGUUCCUUCUCGAAUUGAUCGAAACUGUACAAGCAUUCGUUCUUUCAGGUCAGCCCAAUUCUUAAAAACUUCCAACUCUUCUUGUGCUUGGUACCAAUCCAAUGCCAGAUCAUCAAAACUAAUAACGCCUGUGGUUAAUUUCUCUGAAUCAGUAAGAUCAUGUAUCUUAAAGAAGCGAUAGGCUCUAAAUGUGAGACCCAUUUCUAAUUUGAGUAAUGAAGUAAAUUUGGCUAGGUAUUAAGAAUUUGGCGUUUGAAUAAAUCCACGAAAAGGAUUAAGCGAUAAAAAAAUUUAUGGUUAAGUAUACGUUAUUGCGAUUCAGUGGGUAGUUUGCGAAGGAAGUUGUGCGACCCAUUUCUAAUUCGAGUAAGGAAGUAAAAUUCGGCUAAGAAUUAAGAAGUUGGUGUUCAAAUAAAUCCAUGGAAAGAUUAAGUGAUAAGAUCUUUUACGGUUAAGUAUACUUUUUUGCGAUAAGUGUGUAGUUCGCGAAAGAAGUUGUGCGAUAAGAAGCGAAAAAGUCUUUGCGUAAGUUAAGAAAUGAAAGUUUUGAGUGUUAGACUAGGAGUUUUGGGUGGUCUUCGCGAGAAGAAUCAAGCAUUUCGUGGAGAAGAAGUCUACGAGGAAGCCUUGGAGUUUAAGUUCGUGAUAAGAGUUUUAUGCGAGUAAAAGUUGGUUAGUUCAUGUGGAACGUUUCUUAUAAUAAAAAUAUAAUCAAGCGAUAAGGUUAUUCACGAGAAAUGUUAAGUGGUUGAAUUUAUUCACGGUUUGGGUUAGGUGGGGAGCAAGGUUUGUAAAGAAAAUGUCAAAUCUGAUUUGACAUGGGUUAACAUGUAAGAUUAAGGAUUUGAGCAUGACUAGGUUAAAUAUUAAGGAUUUGCAUGACUAAGUUAGUAUAAGGGAUCUAUAAAAUAGGAGAAUUUAGGUAACUAAGGAGGGGAUGAUGAGAGUUUUGUUGAAAUGCUAAAGUGUUGUUGGUUUAGCCACACGAAAAGAUGGUUGUGAGAAGGACUUCUUUAGUAAAGUUUGGUGAGUGCUUUUCAGUCAAAAGAAUUUAUGUUAAGAAACUUUAUUACGAUUUCUCUUUACUGAUUCGAAAGAAGAAUUCAGAUGAGAAUGUUUCAGAAAGAUUUCUAUGAAAAGUUAUGUUUUCAAGCAUUAUUUAUAAUGUUAAAGCUUGAUUUGAUGACUAUGAUUUCAAUAUUAUGUUUCUUUGAGAUGAUGCUAACUUUUGUGUGCACAUAAAGAGUGAAGGCCACUAUGGAGUGUACGAACUACAUGGUAAUAAGAAGCUGACUUAUGCAUUGAAAUGAGCGUAUAAAGCUUAGCGGUAUGAGCAACAAAGACGAAUUUGUAUGUUCUCAGAUGCUGUUGAUACAGUAGUCUAAACGCGAGGUAAUGAGACCAAGCGUAGAGAACGAUUCGGGAUCCUUGACAAAAUGAAAUGAUUUUUUAAGCAUAGAAAGGUUUAUUUGAAAUGAAAUAAUUUUUUGGUAUAUUUAAAUGAUUUGAUAUUAUUUUUACAAAAUGAUUAUGAAAAGGUAUUGUGAAAGGUUUUCAUAAAACCUUAAAGGAUUUAAAAAAAAGUGGACCAUUCAACUUAAUUCCCAUCCACUAUCCUCUUGUCCAACAUGAAACUUUAUCUUAGUAAAACUUCUUGAUCCACUAUUUUACAAAAAUAUUCAAAACAAUACCAUACUACACCAAAUGUGAUAUUUUGGUAACACUUAAAAUGGUCAGAAAUACCAUUUUCCUGACUUUUUUUUCAUCGACCAUUAAAGAAAAAGUAUAGAUGAUGUUUCACAAAAACUUCCAAACCAUUGUGUUAGUUAUCGUUUUGGAUGAGGGUUGGGGUAGAGCAUCAAUACUCAAAGGUUGUUAAGAAUUAAGAACUAAGACUUGAAAACGAAACCGCCUGCCUGGUUGACAACAACACCAUCCCACUAGAGUGCACAAUGAUGAUUUAUUGCAUUAAGAAGAAGAUGGCGCAGUUAACCUUAGCGCCGUAAUCAGAACCUCAAUCCUCCCUUUGAUGAAACCUAAAGGUGUCAUGCCUUUCCCCUCUACCACAUUGAAGCUCUUUGUCUAACACUACAAGAAAUGAGGGCUCUCUCGAUGCAUAAAAUCAUUGGGAGAUAUAUAAAAAGCGUCAGAAAAGGCUUUUCUGACGCACUAAUAUACGUCGGAACACAAGUCAGGAAAAAUGUAUCGGGAGUUCCUCUCCCGAUGCACAAUGUUGUGCGUCGAGAGUUUCUAGACAUCUUCCGACGUUGUAUGAACGUCGAAGAUGUUGUCAAUAUAGCAUCGAGAGAUGUCUAGGAACCAUGCGUCGGGAGAUCCUCUAUUUUUUUUAAAAAAAAUAACUUCAAUUAAUUCCUAAAUUCAAAUUGAAAAUUUUAAAUUCAAACUCAACUUCAACACUUCAACCUCAACUUUAACACUUCAAUCUCAACUUCAACACUUCAAAUUCAAAUUUCUAAAACCUACAACUAAUUUAAAAUUCUAACAACACUUGAAAUUAAAUUUCAAUACUAAAACUUACAACUAAUUCAAAAUCUAAAUACUAAAACUAAUUUGAAAUCUAAAAUCUAACACCUAAAACAAAUUUGAAAUCUAAAUACUAAAACUAAUUAACUAAAACAAAACAAUAUCUAAACUAAACCACUUACCGAUGGCGACGACGACAGGACGACAACAGGGACGGCAAUGGAGAUGACAAUGCCCUCUUCUUCUCAAUCUUCCUCUCGGUCUCCCUCUCCCUCUCUCAUUUUCUUUCUCUUUAUGUUUUUUUUAUGUAAAGAAUGGAGUUAAAAAAGACAGAGAACUCCUGACGCACAACGAAAACGUCGGGAAUAGCACCCUAUUCUUGACCUGAUUUGUUAAACGUCAGAAAUCCCUAAACAUAUUCCCACGCGAUUAAUGAUACGUCGGGAAUCCCUAAAUCUAUUCUCAACGUUGCUGCCACCACGUCAGAGGAAGGCGUAACAUACAAUUAAUGAUCUGCCCUUCCUCCGACGGUUCCUAAGCUUUUAGCUUUUCUCCAAUCACCCCUUAUGCAUGUUCUCAGGCGAAUCUCAACCAAACCAUAACACUCCAUCAAAAUAAAGAAGAACAGAGACACCUCAAAACCUUUAAUAAAGUAAGGGAGAAGAAUGGAAUGGCAGAGAAGAAGAAGACACCUCAAAACCUUUAAUAUUAUCCUCUCACCACCAAAUACCUCAUCAUUAUAACAACAUCCUUCACCUCACGACCUGACCGAACAAGCCCUUACCCGAUAAAAAGGGCAUUGUUAGCGAAGACGAAUUCCUUAGGGUUGAGGAGGAAGAACUGCAUCACAUUCCUCUCCCUCCGCACACUACUAUACGUAAUUCCAAGGAGGAAGACUUACAUCUCGCGUGUAAACCCGAUACCCAAUAAUCCUUAAUUCAUCUAAAUAACUCAAUAGGACAUUAGGGGUUGAUGUUAGGAGAAAGAUGGUUUAAGAUUGGAUAGUUUAGUUGAAGUGUUAUGGAAGAUGUGUUAAUAUUUUUAAGAUGACAAAAGAAAAGUGUCAUCGUAACAAAGAAAGGCCUAAAGGGUGUUCGAAAAUUGGCUAAGUGUUAGCUAGGGCAUGUUGCAUACUCUAGGCGGCCAAAAGUGUCAAGCGAACCUCUAAAGAGACAUGUUGGGUGGCCAAAGGUUGAGAUGUGGUAUGGCCGAAAGGUGUCAAGACAACCUCUAUAAGACAAGGCUAUAUGACCAAGGGUAUGCGCUAGGCAAGGAAGCUAAGCAUCUAGGAAAUGUCAAGAAACUCUAAAGAAGUUAGAACGUGGAUAAGGAAUGUCAUGCAACAAAGAGGUGGGCUAUGUGGACAUAGGCCAUGCGGCCAAUGGGGCAAUUCAACCAAAUGCUAGUCAAGAUGGCAUGGUUUGUUGAAGGCAUUGAGGGAUGUUUGGGAGAUUAGGCGAGAAAAAAAAGUCUUAGGCAUUCUUGGCAGUAAGAAUUUACUAAAGAACCCUUAUAGAAAAAGGGAUAUGCGUCCAAGGAUGACUUAAGCAAUAUGAGGUAAGAUGUGCGGUAGAGUACAAGUGGACAACAUACAAGAUACCUAAGUUUUGCCAAAUAAGUGUCUUGCAUGAGGUGGAAAGUGGCAAGUAUAGGCGUAAGAGGUGAUAAUAAAAGUGUCAACCAAAGAGCAUGCAAGGAUCACUAUAUGUACAACUUUGGACGAAUUAUGUUAACAAUCAACUUGUGUUAAUUGGGUAACUCUACUUCGAAAAUCUCCUAAAUUGAGUGUAGUAUCAGGAGAAAGGCUACCAGGAAGAAAGGCAUUGAAGUGAAGAAAGACUCAAAGGUCAUUUUCAGAAAAAAAAAAAAAAAAAAAAAACCUAAACAAUGUUAGAGUAUUUUGGAGCUACAUAACUCAAUACUUGGAAUUUGUUAGUGACACUUUGUGGUAAGCUAGUGAAGACAUUCUAAGUAAGUUUGUAGAAGGAAUCUUAUUGAUUUAAGCUUCAAAGUCGAGUUAAGUUUCUGGUAGAAAAAUCAUAUUUCUAGGCAAGGCCAAGGGUGGGUUGAUUGCCAGGAUGACAAGGUGAGAUGAGCGUGUGUUUUGAGCGAAAGAGGUUAUUUAGGCUUCGGACAUGCAGGAAGCAUGUCCUAGCAUGAUCAAGCAGCCUGAGCCACGCGUCAUUACACACUCUAUUAUGAAAGUUGAGUAUAUUGAUACUUGUGAAGCAGCAAAAGAAGCAGUUUUGCUGAGGAAGUUCUUGCAUAAUUUGGAAGUUGUUCCAAACAUGAACAUACCCCAUCACUCUAUAUUGUGAUAAUAGUGGGGCAUAUUACUAAUCCAUUUACAAAGACUCUCAUGGCUAAAGUGUUCAAGGGUCUUCUAGAAAGUCUAGAUCUGCGAGUUAUGUACAUUAGGUAAUCUAGGAAAAGUGGCAGAUGUGUAAUGGGUAUGAGGAUGCCCUAGUUUAUUGUAUUUGUAUAUACACAUUCUAUGUAAUACACUUGUACAUUUUACCAUUUUCAAUGUUAGAGGAUACUUUAUUUUUAAGGCUCUAUUUUUUUCAAGAAAGAGAAAUUUCAGCUAAAGAGGAAAACACUAAGGACAACCAAGCAAAAAAAGUCUAACAAAUAUCAAAAGAGAACAUGCAGGAAAGAAAGAAUGUAAAUAAGGUUUUAUCCGCACCAAGCAAAAAGUCUAACAAGUAUCAAAAGCUUCAUAAGUUGUACUAGAAUUCAAAGCUCUAAACUCUAAAGAAUGUAAAUUUCUUUGAAGAAAUUUGUGUAUAAAGGUCACAUAGUUGAAAAUUCAAUACCUUUUCAAGAAUGUUGUUGAGAAGAUUAUUGUGAUGAAUCUUUGAAUCCAAAUUAUGGAGACAAGAUAAAUAAAUGAGUUCUGAUUCUAACUGACUGAAUGAGAGAUAAGAAAAUAAGAACAUUGGAGUUGAAUUAUCAGCAUUUAUUUUAAUCAAACUUACGAUAGCAAACCAAAUUAUAGAGAGAGAUCAAAUGCUAGGAUAAAGGAAUAGUCUUACAUUUGGUGAGUUCCCAAAUGUUGUGGUAGUCACGAGAGUUAUUCCACUCGAAUUGUCUUAGACAAGAGGCUUCCGUUCAGCAAGUACUGGUGAGAAUUAAAGUGGAAUCACAAACUUAAAAACACUUAAUCUUUAACAAACUUUUCUGACUUUUUGCAAUUACUUUUUAACACAAGAUAUCAAAACACACUUAAAAACCAUAACAACCAAUUACCAUAAAACGGUGUCCAAUAACAAUAAUUGGGUCGACCCAAACAUCAUUAAAUUCUUGGAAAGGUUGUGGACUAGACCUUCACCAUCUUGCCCCUAAAGCAAGUUAAAGCUUAAGGAAAGAACAUAGUAGAAACAAAAAUCAUAAACUCAUCAGUUAGAUAGUAUUGGUGGUCAAAACCUCAAGGUCUCACUUCUUCCAUUUUAUAUUACCAAAUUUGAAAAUGAUUUUUAAUAUAUGAUCAUUCCUUGAAACAUGUUGGUGUACAAGUGUGAAUGAAACUAAAUCAAGUUUGUGUUUUAUGUUAUUGUUUUUGACAUUAUAUUUAUGUGUUAUGCAAUCCAUGAGAAUAUAUUUAUGUGCUAUGCAAUCCAGAAGGGGGAAUGCAACUAUACCCAAUUCAUAAUUGUAUUUGGAACACUAAUGAUUUUAGCACAAAUUCCAUCUUUCCAUUCUCUAAGACAUAUAAACCUUAUCUCCCUCACUCUAUACCUUGGCUAUAGUGCUCUUUGUCUACAUCUAUCCCUAGGAUUAAAACGCAACAUAUUAAAAUGCUCGUAAUUAAAAAUUCAUACAAAAUUUAAAUUAAAUUAAACAUCAAGACCCCUCACGAAGAUGAAUCUCUGUUCAUUUUUCUUUUUAUUAACAAACAAAAGUUUUUAGGUCCACUUCUUUCAACAACCUCCUCAAGGAUCCUUAAUUAGCUCUUUCCAAGUUCAUAACCACUCUAGUCAUGCAAAGAUUAAGGUUCAUGGCCAAUCAACAAUUAAUCUGUGAUUAAGAUAUUAUGAACAUUAUUCACAUAAAAACAUGAAAAGAUUAAGAGCAGAUAAUCAGAUGCAUUACAAAGAAUAAUUCAUAAACUUUGUCUACAUCUAUCCCUAGGAUUAAGAGUUUAGCUACCUAUACUUCACAAUAUAAAACACAAAACUCAAUACAAUACCCAUAACAAAAAUUCGAGGAGAAGAAAAAGAAAACGAAGAAGAAAAUCUAGUGAUUCGUAUUAUUAUAAUAUUGUGUAUAACAGUAUGUGUUUUUUAAUAUUCUCUGUUUCCAGCUCCAGUGUACCAAAAUAUUAUCACAAACUCCACAAUCCUUCUCUUUCCAAUCCCUAAACUAACCAAUGAAUCAUAUUCGCACGCUUGGUAGCCUUGUUCAAAAUAUUAUAUAUUACAAUUAUAAUAACUUGUAUCCCCCCUUUUCAAGCCUAAAAUGCAAAACCUUUCUUCCAUUCUCUAAGGCAUAUUUCCUCUUCUUUAAGUUUGCAUUCCAAUUUUAAAUUCCAAAUUACAAAUUUUAAUCACAAAGGAAAAAAGGAAAAUUAUUACCUUUAGAAAGGGAAGAAAAUGAAUGAGUAACCAUGAAGGAUUUGGAAACGAAUAGAGGUUUAGCGAAAGUGGAAUGCGACAGAAGGACGGUGAACGUGUUUACUCGUUUUCGAAUAGAGAAUGUGUUUACACAUUUCAAACGGUGAACAGACGGACGCAAAUCAACGAAGGUGAAGGGAACGCAAAGCAGACGAACGGUGACGGACGAUGAAGGCAAAUGAAGAAGGUGACGCUGAUGAACGCGAAGGGAAGUCUUUUUCGGCGAUGAACGCAGAUGAAUGCACAGAUGAAUGCGAAGGGAAGGUUAGGUGAACGACGCUUUUGAUUUCGGGUGGAGAAGGGACAAAGUCGCGGUGAAUUAGGUUUAAUUAAGAAAAGGGGAAGUGAUCUAAUUGAAACGUUGCGUUUUGUAAAAGAAUAUUAACACAAUAAUUUUUUUGGAAAUUUCUUGACGUUUUUAAAACAUCAAAAACAAAUUAAAAUUUCUUGAAGUUUUUAAAAACAUCAAUGAUUUUUUAGAAUUAUCUUGACGUUUUAAAAAACGUCAAGAAUUUUUUUAUAAAUUUCUUGACGUUUUUAAAACGUCAAAAAAUUAUUAGAUAUUUCUUGAUGUUUAAAAAACGUCAAGAAAAAGUACAUCUUACUUGACGUUUAAUAAAUGUCAAGAAAGUUGAAAAUUGGCCUUUCAUAAAAAUUCUUGACGUUUUUUUAUUUGAAAUCACAUCUUUCUUGACGUUUUUGGGAAAAAACGUCAAGAAAGGAAAACUACAACCGUCAAGAGAGCCUGUUUUUGUAGUAGUGAUUUUGGGGACAAGACUGAGUGGGGAGUUGGGAUUAUAAUUGCACAAAAUGGAAUUCACUCAUUUCCUACUUUAGGGUAAGUAGAUGAAUGUUAGCUUAAAUGGUGUCUCCAAAACUUGAACAAAGGGCUCGUACCCUCUCUAUGACAUGAGAGGGGUUUUUGUUUAUUAGUAGGACCAUAAACAAGUUGUUCAUUAGAGGAGCACUGGUUUUUAAGGAUUAGAGAUAACAUAGGGGUAAAGCGGUAAAUUGGUCCAACUGGUGUUACAAACACUCGUGAAGGACUAACUUACUAUUAUUGGUCUAUAUCCGUGGACACAUAAAUAUAUUUUUAGUGAGAAGAGUUCAGUUGUGAGUCUUUAGUGGAGUGUACACAAAGCUAACAAAUAUUGAUUAAUGAGUUUAGCCAAUUAAUCUUAGAUCGUUGUAGCUUCUGAUCUGUAGGUCCAUUAGGUCCCUUUCCUAGCUCGUAAAGGGUAAUGAGAUUUAUUUGUAUUGGUUGUAAUUUAAAAUGUUUAAAUUUAACUUGGGAAUUAGUAUAAUGUAUAGUGAUACAUUAUAAUAUAAAGUUUAUCAAACUUUACUAUAUAAAUUUAACUUUGGGAUGAUUCAAAAUUAAUUUAUGAGAGAUAAAAUAUUUGAAUGAGUUCAAAUAUUAAUUUAAUGUGAAUUGGAUUCAUAUUUAAAAUUAUUGAGAGAAACUUAUAUUUGAAUAUGAUUCAAAUUUAAUUUAAGUUAAAUAUAAGAUAAAUAAUUUAGUGUUAUUAGUUAAUUGGAGAAUUAAUUAAUAGUUUAGUUUAAUAUUAUUUAAUUAAAUUCGAUUUCAUUAAUUAUUAACUAAUUGAUUAAUGUUUAAUUAAUCAGUAGAUUUGAAAUAUAUAUUAAUUUAAUUAUUUAUAAAUUAAUAGAAUCUCAUGAUUCUCUUCUACUUCAUUUUCUAUUCCUAGAAGGAAAGAGAGUUAUAAUAUCUAGAAGAAAACAAUUUUCUUAAAAACAACACUAAUGGUACUCUUUGUAAUUUAAGCUCUCUUUGCAAUGAACAGUCUUCAAAGUUUUUUUUAACGAUGUUUCCAAUGCUUUCCUUUCUCUCUCAUGUUUAAUAAAACCAAUUUCUCUUAAAAUCUAUAGGGAGGCUACAUCGUAUCGAAUUUCAUACAACUGACGUGUUCAUCGAGUUACAACAAGUGUCGCACAAUAGUCUGUUCCGUGUUUGAAAAGUUGUGAUUGUGACACGCUGCACAUGAGGUUAGAACGAGACAUGGCAAGGCAAGCCCUACGCGCACCUGCCAACUUCUGCCACAAUAUUUUGUACGCAAGCUAAUGUCUUUGGCCUGUUUUUGUGGUUUUUGGAAAUUUUAAGCAAAGUUUUGAUAUUUUUAUGAUCAACGGGAAUUAAAUGGAAUUAUUUCCCAUUAUUUUUCAUUAUUUUAGAUCUGAAGGAGAUCAAACAAGUUUAUAAGCCAAGGGUCCAAGCUACUCUCUAUAAAUGACAAAAACGAGUUUAAAGUUGAUUUCUAAACAUGAAUUUACUAUCAAAUGUUUCAAGCAUGCUUUGAUGUUUGAAUAUUUGAGAAUACUAACUUAUAAAGUAUUUCCAAAGCAUGAAUUUAGAAACAUUUUGGUAAACAUGUUUUUAUUGAUGAAUUUACUAAUGAAAAUUAUAAGCAAUCAUGAUUGUGCUAAGUUUUCAAAAUGUUUAAGCUUGAAAAUAAUAUUAGCAUGUUUUAGUCUAUACCUAAAAUAUUCUAAGAUAUAUAGCAACCCUUCGGGAGAGAUUUUCUUGUGCAUAGAGGUCAUUUGAUUUGGAUAUUCAGUAAAUACCUAGCUUUCCAUCAUUGGUAUUAGAUAAGAGAUGAAGACUUCUAAAGAUGCUUAGUUUCCCAUCUCAAGGGACGAGAGCCUGUACGAAUGCCUAGUUUUCCAUCUCAUUGUAGUUAUAACGAGAUAGGGCACAAUUGAUGCCUAGAGUUUCAUCUCGUAAGUAUCGUAUCACGGGAUAGGGCUUCUAUGCCUAGUUUAUUGUUUUUCGUCUCGACGAUUCUAGGUAUAGCAACUGAAAGGGAAAGUUUGAGAUAAGUUGUUUGAGUUUGAUUUCAUUUAUGUUAAGAGUUAAUUGUUAAAUACUUAUUAUUUCAAAACGAUGUUUUAUUAAACAAUCACUCAUUGGGCUAUUUAGCUCACUCUUUGGAUAAAUAUCCCCAUAUGGAUUACGUUGUUUGGAAAAUUAAACUGUGCUUUAGUACUUCAAAGAAAACUUCCCUCCCAUGUCCUCUCACCUCAUGUCUGCCCCAUUUGUGUUGAUAACAUGAAAAAUAUUUAGUACCUUUGAAUUGACUAUGUCUUUGUAUCGAAAUGUUGGUUCCGUCUUCUCCAAACAUUCAAUAUUUGUUGGGAUUUUUUGCUCAAUCAAGGCUUAUUCUUCUUUGUUCUCGACCUGCUACCUAUGAUUUAUGAUUUUGUUUUGGACAUAUUAUUUUAUCGUUUUGCUUGGUUUUAUAUUUGUGGCUUUUGUUUUGUUUUGUUUUUUGUUUUUUGUUUUUUUUUUGUGAAAAGGAGACAACCUCUUUAUUAAUAUUAAAAUAAUAAUAAUAAUUAGACAAAAGCUCAUAGUACAAGAGAGUUAUACAAUGAACAUGUAACCAUGGAUCAGGGGGUGCACCUUGGCAUCUCAACUAGGGAGAGGAUUUCGUUAUGACGGUGAAUUAUGAGUGGAAGCCUCGAAGGUGUAAUUUGUGCCGGUCUUUUGGGCAUUCUAGUGGUAAGUGUCCUAAGAUUGUGGAAAACAAAGUUCAUCGAGAGAAGGAUGUGAGCAAGGUGGUUUCAAACAAAGAGGAGGAUGGACAAUUGUGUCUUGUGGAUGUGGUGUUAGACUUUAAAUAGUUGGAGGAAAGUAAGACUAAUAGCUCCCCCAUUAGGCAUAUUAAGGAAAAGGAGGUAGGUAAUCGAGAUGAAAUUACUCGUUAUUAGGAAGAAAAGAGAGUUGGUUUAUGUUCGAGAGAAGGGUAAACGUGUGGAUGUGAUUAUGCCUAACUCUUUUGGCAGCCUUAUGAAGUUGGGUGAGGGAGACAAGUGGACCUUAUCUAUAGUGGAUGACUCCCCUCCCCCCUUACAAGUGGAUGAUACCGCUAUUGUUCUUAGGCGUAUGUUAUUAAUCACCUUAAGAUAAUUUCAAAAUAUAAAUAUAUUUUUAGUAUAAGUCCUCACGUUUGACUCUAGACUCACCAAGAAACCUUAUUUGGAUAUUACGAAUAUGACAAAAUUAGUGAUAUUAGAUGACUAUCAAACGAUAAUCAUAGGGUUAUCAACUUUUAAAUUUACUACUUUUAAAAUUUAGAAAAUGUAGUGACAUGAGUCAUGUGAUUAUAAAUGUUUUUGUUAUUUUUGCAGGGUUCCAAAGAAAAAAGAAAAAAGUAAGAUGUGAUUGAUAAUAUGUGAAAAAAGGAAAAAAAUUAAAUAAAUAUAACUCGAUAUAUCUAAUUUGUUUAAAAACGACCCCAUUUGUAAUUUUUCUUUUCAAAAGUCACACAACAUCUUUUUGGAAAGUUUUUUUAGAGAAGCAUGCCAAUACCUUCAUCCUACGUAUAUAGAUGUAUUUAUGAAUAAUUUUUAAAAGUUCAAAACAAUUUUUUUUAACAUUUCAAAGUUUAAGGUUAUUUUUUUACACAAACUACAAAAUUCAAAAGAAUUUUUUUUGUAAUUUAACUAAAUACUGUUGUAUGUAUAUAUAUAUAUAUAUAUAUAAAUUAGUUAUCUUUUUUAGUCCUAUAUUGUAAAAAAAUAUGAUUAUCGAUUUAUUGAAAUCUAAUUUGUAAAUGGCUUAAAACAUUUAGUUAUUAGUAAGCAGCGUUAUUAUUUUAAAAUAGAAAACAAAAAUUAACAUUAUUGUUAAACCGAGCCAUUCUCGAGAACAUGAAAUAGAAUUGGAUAGCUGCCAUGCAUCGUGUCUAUGAAUGUUAAGAAUGAAACUAUCGGUAGGGUUAUAGAAUAAUCAUUCUAUCAGCCUCAAUUAUGAUACAGGGUUUAUGAAAUAGAAUUUUCUUAUGUAUUGUAAUAGUAGAAGAUUAUUCGUCAGGAAGCAAAGCUUAUAGCUUUGAAGAGUAUCUAAAGGUUACAGAAGAGCAACCGAAAGCUUACGAUCAGCUCCAAACCAAUUUUCCAGCACAAAGCCAGAGUGGAUCCCAAGUACAACGGGAAGGUUGUUAAAAUCAAAUCUCUUAUGUCUUAUUUCAUAACUAUUUAGUUUUGAUCUUAACUACAACAAUUUUCAUUUUUUUCUAGGUGAACAUUGUAUGUGCUUAGAAAUUAAGUGUUUUGAAAAUUAGAGGUGAGCAAUCACACUUAGAAACUAAGUGUAGAACCAUAGAAAUGUUACCCCAUCGGUUCUAGCAAUGCCUAGUUACCGCAGUUCAUAACAAAGAAAGAAAAGAGGCUCGUAAAUGCAGACCAUAAAAAAGUGAGACAAUCAACAAUUAUAAAAAAAAAACAUAUGCAAUAUGCAUUAAAAAAAGCUCAUAAAAAAUACAGAGUCAAGUCAAUUAGGUCAAGUAGAACAUGUUGAGUUCCCUAGCUAUUAGAGAUUUUGGGGGAAAACAUCGCUUUUGGCCUAACCAAAACUAGACCAUCUAUUUUUAGUGUUUUAAACAUAACGUCAAGUUUGAUUGAGGGCUUUGAAAAGAGGAGGAAUCCUCCUCGAUCCACAGUAGGGCGAAAACGAGGCUUGUUGUCACUUCGAAGGGAGCAGUCAAACUUAGCAUUGAGUUUGAUUUUUUUUUUGAAAAGGUAAUGAUAAUAUUAUACAACAACAAGGUGGACCUCACAGCCUGAGGUCAAGACAAAAGAGCGAACAACACUCACAAAACAAGUAGUUAGACAAAACAACCCAUAAGUACCCAAAACAACCCCACAUCUCGGGAACAAGAACUAAAACCAAAAGAAACCAACUAGUGUUCCAAACAUUAAAAGGACAAGAAAAGAGAGAAAGACAACAAAGUUAAUAAAGAGAAGAGAAACCCCACACCCGAGGACAAGCAAACGAAAAGAACAUUAAAUAAGACCAUGAACACCAUCCGACCAAGAAGCAGCACACGCUUUAAUACACGACCGAAUGAGCUGGAAUACAACCAUAGGCUCCCGAACAGCACCUCCAUGAAGACGAUGAUUUCGCUCCUGCCAAAUGAAAUAAAUUGUAGCACACCAGAGAAGGCGCCACAGUUUUCUCCUCACACUCUUCCCAAUACCCUGAUUAUAAAUCCAAGAUAACUCAACCCCCAAUAACCGAUUCUAUGAGAAGAUGACAUAAGCAAAAGGAUCCUCGACCAAAUCUCCCACCCAAAAUGACAAGAAAAAAACAAAUGAUCACGAGACUCAUAGUUCCCUCCACAAAGCAAACACGAUAAAGGAAUCGACCUAUCCCACCGACUUAACCUAUCUCUAGUACUCAACCUAUCCCUGAUGGCCAACCAAGCACAGAAGGAGUGCUUAGGAAUAUUUCCCCCACCCCAUAGUAAACCCGACCAUCCAACCCUACUACUAUGAGGACGAAUAGUCUCCCACGCACUAGUGAUCGAAAAACUAUCACGACUCCCCGGCACCCAGACCCACCUAUCCUCAACACUCGGACUCGGCCUCACUCCCUGAACCCUAUCCCAAAUGUCCAUCAAAUCCAAAGAAACAAGCGGCCACCUCCAAUCACCAUCCCGACCCAUGAAAUCCACCAGCCUCACAUCCCACCGACUACCCGCAUCAUAGAUCACCCUUCCCCAAACUGCUGGAUAAUCGGCCCACCCUGAAUCCAUGGAACCAACCACACUCUACACUUCCUUCCAUUGCCCACCUCCAUCUAAACAUGAGCUUUAAGGAUAUCCCGCUUACGCAAGAUUUCCCUAAAGCACCAAGAUCGACCCACCCCAGCAUCGAUCUCCCACAGCGAUCUCCCUUUAAGGAUAUAAGAUUCCACCCAAGAAACCCACAAACUACCAGAUUUAACAAGUAGCAACCAUAAUAUCUUCAACGUGCUUGCUAUAUUCCAAGAAGAUCCAUCGCGAAUAUCAAGACCUCCUUCAUCAAAAGGAAGACAAACCUCAUCCCAGGCAACUUUAGCACCACUUCUUCCCUCCUCCUUACCUCUCCACAGAUAAGCCCUCAAGAUCUUAUCAACGUCUCUGUGGACUUUCAUAGGAAGCAUGAACACACUAGCCCAAUAAACCUGAAGGCUCCUAAGGACUGAGCGAACAAGCUGAAGUCUACCUGCAAAAGAUAACACUUUAGCAGACCAAGACCGAAUACGAAUGGUAAUACGCUGAAUAAGGGGAUCACAAUCAGAGCUCCGCAAUCUUCCAGAGAGGAGAGGAAGCCCAAGAUAACGAAUAGGGAGAUGACCAAUGGAAAAACCCAUGUUAGCAGCAAGCCGAGAAUCUUUCGAACUAUUAACCCCCACAAGAAAAAUUGAGCUUUUAGGAAGAUUAGCAAACAAUCCCGAAAGCUCACCAAACCUCUUAAUAGUCUCUUUUAUGAAACUCAUAGAAUGAUUAUCAGCAGUACAAAAGAUCAUUAGGUCAUCUACAAAGUAAGAUGAGUUAAUCUGACCUUCUCACAAAACUGGUGGAAUUGAAAAUUCUGAGGUGGGCUGUUCAACAUGCGAGAAAGCACCUCCAUGACCAUCACAAAUAAGAACGGGGAUAAAGGGUCACCUUGUCUAAGUCCUUUCCUCCCAUGGAAAAAACCUUCCAACGAUCCAUUAAUCAUAAUGGAGAACAUCGGAGAGGUCACACACGCUCGAACCCAACUCAUAAAUCUUAAAGGCGUACCUAUGGCAAUCAGCAGGCCAAAGAGGAAAUCCCAAUUAACAGAAUCAUAAGCUUUUUGGAGGUCAACCUUCAUAGUGCACCGAGGUUUACCUCUGUGCAAAUGGUAUGCCCCUACAAGCUCCUGACAAAGAAGAAUAUUGUCAAUAAUACUCCUCCCAGGGAUGAAAGCUGGCUGAUUUCCACUAACAAAAGAAGGAAGCCACACACGAAGCCUAUCUGCCAAUAUUCUUGAAAUGCACUUAUAAAUAACGCUGCAAUAAGAUAUAGGGCUGAAAUCCUCCAAUCGAUCAGCACCAUUCCUUUUAGGAAUAAGUGUAAUAGCAAUCGUAUUCACCCCUUGAGGGAAGUAAUUGGUCUCAAAGAAGUGUAAGACGACAUCAUAGAAACCCUCUCCAACCACCGUCCAAGCUCCUUUGAAGAAGCUAACUGAAUACCCAUCAGGGCCUGGAGCCUUUCCACCAUCCAUGGAGAACAGAACACGUCUCACUUCCUCCCUGCCAAUAGGCGACUGGAGGGUCUGGCAACACUCCUCAGUCCAUCUAAACUGAACAAUCUCCUCAAUACUAGUAGAGAGCUCUUUGUAGCUAAUAUUCUGAGAACCCAGACUAUCUUUGAAAUAAUUCACUACCACCUGAGUCACCUGAUCAUGGUUAGUCAACCGAUUUCCAUCUGGGUCAAUAACUGAUCUCAAAGCAUUGCUGCUCUGCCUUGAUCGAACAGAUCGAUGAAAAAAGGCAGUAUUCUGGUCAUCUAGCUUCAACCAUCUGAUUUGCAACUUCUGGCGCAUAGCGGCUUCCUCCAUUCUAACGGCUGUCCAAAAGUUUACCGUGGCUAAGCUCGCGUGAUUACUCGCCUCCUCCGACAAAGAGUUCGUCUCCAUCUCUCUUUGAGCUCGGUCCAUGGUAUCAUUGGCAAGACGAACAUCCUCACUGAUGGUCCGGAUAUGCCUACCAAAAUGUCUGCGAAGAAUCGACUUGAGAUUUCUUUAGUUCCUCACAAUAUUCACAGUUGGAGAAACUCUAGUAUCUUUGGUCCAAGCAGAGGACACAACAUCCAUAAAGGACGCUUCUUCAACCCAAUGGUUAAAGAAACGAAAAGAGACCACUUGUUGGCUUCGCUGAUUACUGGGAUAGACAAGUAUGGGAGAAUGAUCAGAAAUACCCCACGGGAGGACGUUAACCCUCAUGUUAGACCAUGUACUAAGCCCCUCAUCAUUCACUAGGAUACGAUCAAGUCUAUUCAUCAAACCCGACCCAUGUAUCUUACUAGUCCAAGUAAACCAGUUCCCCUGGACCGCGGGUUCAACAAGGUCCGCCUCUCGAAUAGCCAUGUCAAACUCCUCCAUAUCCCCCACGUUCGAAGCACCCCGAAGGCUUCAGAGUGGAGUCUGAUGGUGUUAAAAUCACCCAAGACCAUACCCGGUCCUCUCCAACCAGCAGAGAUCUCAGCCAUUCGCCUCCAUAAAACACGUCUCUUGAUAUUACUAUUAGAGGCAUACACACACAGAACCUCUACCUUCUCCCCAGAGAUCAAAUCUGUUAUUACACCAGAAAUAAACUGGUCGACAACCUCGUUAGUCGUGAACACGAAUCUGUUACGUUUCCACAUAAUCCACAUCCGACCUACUCCACUAUUGCUGUAGUUACUAAUGAACCCCACGAAUCACCAAAUCUUCUAGAUAUCGAGACAAAGUUCUCCUCUCGAACUCUAGUCUCCAGGAUGCAACAGAAACCCACCGUAGACACGGCUAAGAAGUCCUUCACCGCUCUACACUUUACAGGGCUAUUAAGGCCCCGCACGUUCCACGUACACCAACUAACCAUGAGGUCGUAUGGGAGCUGCCUCUCCCAUAGGAAUGACAUCACCUGUAGUACUCAAAAGGACCAUAGAAGAGUCAUCUACUCGUAAGGGAGGAGGGGAGCCAUCCACUAUAGAUAAAGGCCAUUUAUCUCCUUUAUCCACCUCCAUGAGGUUGUUAAAGGAGUCAGUGAUACUCACUUCCACCCUUUUCCCUCUGUCCCGAAUAGAGAUCAUUCCCCUAUUUUUCCUGUCCACUGGGGUAAAUUCCUCCCGAUUUACCUCCACCUUUUCAGGCAGUUUAUGGGUAAUAAUUUCUCCUUCUUCCAUGUGUUGGAAGGAUUCCAACACAACAUCUCCAUACUCCCCACAAUCUGGAACCACCUCUUUAGUAGGAACAACCUCUUUAACAGGAACCUCUUUACUUGCAGCUUCCUUUUUACUAUCUUCAUUGCCUCUUUUCUUAGGGCAGGUGUUCUGCGAGUGUCCAAAAGAUCGACACAAGUUACAUUUUUUCGUUUCCACUCAUAAGUGACAGUUACAAUAAAUUCCUCUCCUCUAAGGUUGACUGUUACUUCGGCAGGCAUAAUACUGUCCACAUUCAAUUCCACACAUAUACGGGCAUAAGAAAGAUGACGCCUCUCUUUAGUAGCAAGAUCAACUGAAAGAGGUUUUCCUAUUGCACUCGCUACCACAGCCAAACCAGCAUCCGUCCAUAGCUCCAACGGAAUCCUCCCUAACUUUAUCCAAACAGGAACUGAAUCAAAGACAAAGGAUUCAGGAACUAUACCUGGAGUCCAUUUGCGGAGGAGCAUAGGUUUGCCUCCAAGGUGCCAUGGCCACGGGAUAAGAUCCACUCUAUCGACUUCAGAUGUUUGAAUUGAAAGCAGAUGAGCCCAUUCUCCAUCAGAGUAAUUGUUGGCAUUUCAAUUCUACCCCAAAUCUUCUCUAUAAGACGAUAGAUGACUAGAUACGCAAUUUUGCAUCAAGUAAUUGGCUGACGAGGGAGUUCUCCCGCACUCUAACUCCUUGACUAAUAACUUCUUCAAACGGGGUCACCACAAUUUUCUCUCCCACGGUAGUUAGAGGUGUAUAGGUCAAAGAGAAACCUCUUGUUGAGCCAAAUAAGGAAGCCCAUGAAUUUUUUGCCUGCACUCCAGAAUUAUUAGAUUUAUGCACCUCAUGCCCACGAAUCGGAACAGGCGGCCCACCAUUUGAAUAGUACCAAACGGUUCUCUAAUGGCUGGCCCAUCAUUCAAAUGCCCAUCAACCGGCCCAAUCUUUGGGGCACUUGCAAUAGCAUCCAGCCCAGGUCCAUAUCCUUUGGCGCUGCAAUUUGCCCAACAUGCUGAACACUUGAAGCACCAACAGGUAAGCACUCCUUCUGUGAGAUCCCAGUUUCGUGUGAGAUGGACGGCCCAUCAUUCAACGAUGGCCCAUCAACCAGAGAUCCAUGACGAAUUCCAUUCGUAAAUGUGUCCACACCAUUCGGCUUCAGCCCCUUUACCGGCUCAUUGGACUUCAUCAAGUUUUCAUUCAAAACAAUCGGCCCACACGCCUUUGGGCCAACAAUCUUCAUGGACCAUUUCCGCUCGGUCCAUUUCCUGUAUUUCGUUUUUAUAUGUAUCACAGUUCACGUAAACCGGUUCGGGUCCACUCAUGUCCGACCGUUUCUUCCUCGCAGAAAUUAGGUCAGCCUUUACAGUCGCCGCCCUUCGGUCGUUCGCCGCCAUAUCAUGUACGCGUUGAAGGCUUGACAUCACGUUUCUUCACCUCCUCAACGUCACUGGAUAAUUUCUUCAUCGUUUCAUGCUUAGGACAUCAACCCAACACCCGUGAUGAUCUUUUCGGCCCAAUCUAGGAACACGAAUGAACUCAAAAAGAAUUAAAUUCAACCGAGGAGAUUCAUGCGAGAUCCCUCCAGCGAGUGAAUUAAAUCACGGUCUUCAAAGCAGAACUGAUAGCCAAUAAAUCGAUUCGUACCACACGCAAUACUUUCAAGAUAGUUCAAAUCAAUUCAGCUUGGAAACCGAUUUAAACAAUUUCUGACAGACGUUAAUUCUCCCGAAUCAAAAAGAAUAUCAUUCGUAAUGGUUCAAUUGAUCAAUUGUAAUAAAUUUCAAAUGGAUACCAAAUGACAUUAGUUUUCACAUUCAAUCUGCCAAAACCGAACGAAUUACCUUCGAAUUUGAUCCCUUGCUGACCGCAGCACUCACCAGUCGUUCGCCUCCUUCACCAGCUGAGUGAGAGAACUUGGAAAUCCUAGAGAGACGCGUGUGAGGUACACGCACCCGAGAUGAAAAUUUUUCCUUUUUACUCUAAUUGAGUUUGAUUGAGGGCUUUGAAAGAAAAUAAUCCACAAUAGGGGAAAACGAGGCUUGUUGUCACUUCGAAGGGAGCAGUUAAACUUAGCAUUGAGUUUGAUUGAGGGCAUUGAAAAGAGGAGGAAUCCUCUAUGAUCCACAAUAGGGGAAAACGAGGCUUGUUGUCACUUCGAAGGGAGUAAUCAAACUUUGAAACUAAGUGUAGAACCAUAGAGAGAUUACCCCACCGAUUCUAGCAAGGCCUAUUACCAUAUUUCAUACCAAAGAAAGAAAAAAGAGGCUUGUAAAUGCAAACCAUAAAAAUGUGAGACAAUCAACAACUAUAAAAAAAACAUAUGCAAUAUGCAUUGAAAAAAGCUCAUAAAAAUUAGAGAGUCAAGUCGAUUAAGUCAAGUAGAAUGUGUUGAGUUCCCUAACUAUUAGUGCUUUUGGGGGAAAUUUUCACUUUUGGCCUAACCAAAACUAGACCACCUAUUCUUAGCGUUCUAAACAUAGCAUCAAGUUUGAUUGAGGGCUUUAAAAAGAGAAGGAAUCCUCCCCAAACCACGGAAGGGGGAAAAUGAGGGUCUUCACUCUGAAGGGAGCAGUCAAACUUAGCAUUGAGUUUGGUUGGAGGCUUUGAAAAGAGGAGGAAUCUGAUAGACCCCCUAUAUUACAUCUGUACAGUGGAAGAGGGACAAAGAAAUUAAAAAAAAAUAUCACGUGCACAUGAAUAGCAUGUGAGGGUUAGUAAAGGGAAGGGUUAGUUACCUUAUUGUUAGUAUAAAUAAAAAGUAAUCGUGGGCGGGAAAGUUAGGUUUUGUUUGAGAAAGUGAAUUUCUAUUCUUCCUUGAGAGAGAGGAUAACAGGAGAGGGAUUUCAUAUUGUAAUUAGGAUUUCAUUCCUAUUCUAUCAUUAAUAAUAUAGUAGCAAUUUCAUUCCAAGACUGGUUUCCAUCAAAUUGGUAUCAGAGCAUUGAUCUCGGGCAAGAAGAAUGCAAAUGGUUCAGACUCGGAUCGAAGAGAUGGAGACGUUUGACCAGGAAAUACAGACAUUAAGAAAGAGAUUAGUAAGAUACUGGUGAUCGAAAAGACGUUGGCCAAAAUCCAAAAAUAUGGAGAGGUAGAAUUUAGAUGAUGUUACGAAUUAUGGAAUCGACAACAAUGCACAAUUCAUCGACGAAGAAUGUGGACGAAGGCGAAGGGUGACCAAGAUGGGAGAACGAAACAAGGAAGGAAGGAAAGAAAAUAUAUGAUGAAAGUAAUAGUUACUGCAAUAAGUUUAAGAAGGUGGAGAUGUCGAUAUUCAAUGGAGAUGAUCCCGAUUCUUGGCUGUUUCGCGUAGAGAGGUAUUUGCACAUUCAUAAACUUACUGAAUUUGAGAAAAUGACUGUAUCCACUAUUAGUUUUGAGGGACUAGCAUUGAACUUUUACCGUUCUCAAAGAAGAACGAGAGAACUUUGUAGAUUGGGUGAAUAUGAAGGAAAGAUUAUUUGUGCGAUUUCGAUCCGUGAGGGAGGAAUCGUUGUAUGUAAGGUUCUUGCAAAUUCAACAAAAGAAAACGAUAGAGGAAUAUCAAAAUUUAUUCGAUAAGUGGGUAGCUCCUUUGUCGGACCUAUUAGAGAAGGUGGUAAAAGAGACAUUUAUGUCGUGAUUGAAACUGUGGAUCUAGGCGGAGAUGGAUUUAUGUGAGUCGAAGGGAUUAGCACAAACGAUACGAAUCGCGCAAAAGGUAGAGAACAAGGAAGAUAUACGUCAGGAAGCAAAUCUUUCUGGAUAUUCUGGAGAAAAGGUGAUAAACUCCCAUAAUAGCACCAAGGCUAAUACCAUUGCGAAUACAGAAGAAAGUAAAGGAGGAAUGAAUUGGCCGAUGAGAACUAUUACUCUACGAGGAACAACAAAAGAGGAAGUACGGAAAGAGGGACAGGCGAAGCGCUUAUUUGAUGCUGAAUUUCAAUCUAGAAAGAAGGGAUUGUGCUUUCGCUGUAAUGAGAAAUAUUCUCAUGACCACAAAUGCAAGAUGAAAGAGCAAAGGGAAUUGUGAAUGAUUGUUGUGAAGGAAGAAGGCGAGGAGUAUGAAAUUAUUGAAGAAUGAGGAAUUGAUCAGAAAGAGUUGAAUGCCCCUGAGAUCGUAGAGGAGAGUCAGGUGGUGGUGGAAUUAUCCAUUAAUUAUGUGGUGGGAUUAUCCAACCUAGGGAAAAUGAAGGUAAAAGAGAUGAUACAAGGGAAUGUGGCUAUAGUACUAAUUGAUUGUGAAGUCACACGCAAUUUCAUUUCAGGAAAAAAUAGUGAAAGAGUUGCAACUGAGUACAAGAGAAACGUCGAAUUAUGGAGUCAUUUUGGGCUCGGGCACUGUAGUCAAAGGGAAGGUAAUUUGUGAAGAUGUUGAGUUAAUGCUGGGAGACUAGAAGGUAGUGAAUGAGUUUUUACCCUUGAAGUUGGGAGGGGUAGUUGCCAUACUUGGAAUGCAGUGAUUGUAUUCCUUGGGAACGACUGGAGUGGAUUGGAAGAAUAUGAUGUUAACAUUUACAUAUCAGGGGAAUAAGGUGAUAAUCCAAGGAGAUCCGAGCCUAACCAAGGUCAGGGUCUGUCUUAAGAAGUUUAUGAAAACAUUGGGGGAAGAAGAUCAAGGCUUUUUAGUAAAGUGCAGAGCCUUAGAGAAAAGUGAAUCCUUAGAAGAAGAGAAUUAGUGGGAGGUCGAAUUAACAGUAGAAGAAUCAAUAUCGAUGAUCCACUGUAGGAGGAAAACUUCGAACUUCGAAACUAAGUGUACUACCAUAGAAAGGUUACCCCACUCGUUCUAGCAAGGCCUAGUUGCCACCUUUCAUACCAAAGAAAGAAAAAAGAGGCUUGUAAAUUCAAAAUACAAAAAAGUGAGACAAUCAAGAGCUAUAAAAAAAUAUUUAAUGGAACAGUUAGUAUUGUUUGCUUUGGAGUAAUACUAUGGUUGUCCAAUUUUGAGUUGAACAUGAAAUUACUUGAUGUAUAUACUCGUUCUAAAGUUGGUGUAGAAAAUGGAAUUCGACAAGUUUAGGAAAGGUACCUUAGACCAAAAAAUCAGAGAUUCGAUCUUUAUUCCCAUGUGUUGAAUUAAAAAAGGGUGGUUAAUGCUAUUUGUUUUGGGAAGCAGUUCUUUAACAAAGGUUGUCCAACUUAUGUUUGAACAUAAAAUUAUUUAUUGAUUUAAAUGGUUAAAACAGGAGGAAUGGAUGGGUGACACAAAAGAUCACAAUCCACAUAUCACUUGAAUCAAAAUCUUUUGGCAGUUUUGAUUCAAAAAACUUGUUUGUUUGCAAGAUUUACAUAUACUGUUUAGUUUUAGACAAGAUAAAUUGAUACGGUUUUAUUUUGGUACCUUUGCUGUUAGUACUUGCCAAUUAAUAUCCGACUGCAUAAUAUAUAGAUUCUGGCAUCUUGCUUGUCCUUUUGCAGCUGCACUUUGUAUAUAAAUCUUGAACUUCUCUUUCUUAGUUGGCUAUUUUCUGACAAGGAUAUGUUUUUUGUGUAUGCUUGAACUUCUGAAAAUAUCCAUAUUUUUUGUGUAUCAAAGCUGCCUACAAUGAAUGACAAUGUGGAUGUUUAUGUGCUUGAUUAUGCAGUUCCUGUGAACUAACAUAUUGAUAAUUAACUUUUGGUCUAACUGCUUCUAAUGAUAUCUAACAUAUGGAAAUUUAGAUUCUAGUAAUUCAAGUUUUGUGAUCCACAUAAUCCUUGAGUUCUGUCCCCUUGUAUUUUCUUGAAAUGAAAAUUCGAAUCAUGUUUCUAUCUAAAGUUGAAUUGCAUUAUCUUUUUUUUUCUUGAAAAGUUAAUAUCAUAAUACAACAAGGAUGACCUCACAAGAGCGGACAAUGCUCACAAAAACAGGAAGAAUCCAAAGUAUCAAAAGAAAGAACAAUAAUAAACCCAACAAAAUUAAGAGCAACAAAAACAUAAAAAGUCCAAACAACCCCACAGCCCGAGAACAAGCAGAUAAAACAAAAAUCAAAAGAAAACAAGCUAAAUAAUACCAUGAGCAUCCUCACGCAAAUAAACAACACGAGCACUGAUACAAGAUGGAAUAAGCUGAAACAGAACAAUGAGCUCACGAGCUUGACCACCAUGGAGACAAUGAUUAUGCUCCUUUCACAUAAAAUAAAUCGUAGCACACCAGAGAACAUACCACAACUUCCUUCUCACACCCUUACCAAUACUCUAAUGACAAACCCUAAACAACUCAACCCCCCAAUACCCAAUCCUGUGAUAGCGCAAAGACACCAAGACCGACCAACACAAGAAUCGACCUCCCACAACGACCUUCCUUUUAUGAAUAUAAGCCUCCACCCAAGCAACCCAUAGAAAACUCGAACUAGUCAGCAACAACCAAAGAUUCUUCAUAGUACUCACAACAUUCUAAGAAGACGACAUCAAGAAUAGUAAGACCAUCCUCAAAGGAACAACACCUCAGCCCACGCUAACCUUAACACUCCUCUACUUCCUCCUUUACCCCUCCAAAGAUAAGACUCAAGAUUUUAUCAACCUCAUGAUGCACACUCACAGGCAGCACAAACACGUUAGCCUAGUAAACUCUGAAGAUUAUCAGCACAUAUCGAACCAGUUGCAAUCUACCUGCAAAUGAUAAAACUCUAGCAAACCAAGAAUGAAUCUGACUAGUAAUACGUUGAAUAAGAGAGCACAAUAGUAGGUCGUUAACCUCCCAGAAGUAAAGGAAGCCCAAGAAUAUACGAACAGGGAGAUGCCUGAGAACAAAACUCAAACUGGUAGUCAAACGAUAAAAUCAUCAACUAUUAACCCCUACAACAAACAUAGAAAUUUUACCAAGAUUAGUAAAUAGCCCCGAGAGAUCACCAAACUUUUUAAAUUUUACUAAGAUUAGUAAAUGCCUGAGAACAAAAUGCAUUUUGAUAGCGUUAAAGUCACCCAUUACAAAACCUAACUAUGUCCAACCAGAAGAGAUAUCACCUAUAUGAAACCACAACAAACAUCUUUCAACAUUAUUAUUAGAGGCAAAAAUACAUAUGUUGGGAUUUUAUGUCCUAAAACUCGUAGUUUGUUAUCAUAUUCAGUUCAAUAAAAUCGUUAUUGAAAAAUUUAAAAUUAUAAUCUUAAAUCCAAUAAACUAAGUCUUAAUGCUAUUUUUUUACAUUUGAACUUUAUGUCGAGACAUAAACGUGGAUCAAGUUCGAGUGUAUAGCCUAAAUAGUCUAUAGUGCCUUAUUUAGAGAAACUACGGAUGUGACCCGCUUUGUAAUUAGUACAAACGAGGUGAUCCUAAAUUGUUCAUGUAGAGACAUGAAAGUGGGGGCAUCCUAUGUAAAGUACUUACAUAAGACUGAUCCAUGAAAUAGUCACUUUUACGUUAUAACACCGUUUACUGUUUAGAACUGACUAUUUCGUUUAUUGAUGACUUAGGUAGCUUAAUCUUAAUCCUAAGCUAACUAUGAACUCCUGUUCACAUGAGAUUAUCCUUACAUUUGCAUAGGUGAGGGUAUCUCAUCAACGUUCUCCCAAUAAGCCUCUCAUUUCAAGGGUAAGAUCGGAUGAAUGGCUGGGAACAUAGGAUGCAAGACAGAAUUCACUUCUACCUGUUUUAGGGUUAGUAGAUAGGUUGUUCUCUUAAGCACUGUAAAGUACUUACAUAAGACUGAAUUCACUUCUACUUGUUUUAGGGUUACAUCUGCAUAGGUGAGGGUAUCUCAUCAACGUUCUCCCAAUAAGCCUCCUAUUUCAAGGGUAAGAUCAGAUGAAUGGCUGGGAACAUAGGAUGCAAGACAAAAUUCACUUCUACCUGUUUAGGGUUAGUAGAUAGGUUGUUCUCUUAAGCACUGAAUCCAAGUCUUGAACAAGGGGCCCCACCCUCACAUUAGCCCGAGAGGGAUUAAGUUUAUAGGUUGGACCUUAAACCAAUUGUUCAAUAGUGGAUCAAUGAAACUUAAGAAAUAAGAUGUAGUCUCAAGGAUAAAACAGUAAUUUGAUCCAUUCGAGGUUACGAAUAACAUGUGAAGGAUUAACUUAUUGAUCAUGGUUAUAUUAAAUGGACAAGAAUAUAUCUAUAGUGAGGGGAGUGCAACUGCGGGACUUUAGUGGAAUGACCCGUUAGUUUACGAAUGUUGAUUAACUCGGUCUAAAAGAGUUUAACCAGUUAAUCUUGAAUCGUUGGAGCCCAUGAUAUAUAAGUCCAUUAGGUUUCCCUGCUAGUUCAUAUGGAAUAAACUUAGAACAUUGUGAUGGAAUAAGUCGAAUUGUUCGAAUUGAGAGAAGAGAGAAAUCGACAAGUAUACCGACAAGGUGCACCUUGAGGACAUGAAAGUCAUGUUAAGAAAGACUUAAAAGAAUUGAAACUUAUUACCUAUACCAACAAUGUGAACCUUUUUUUUUCGGUGGCUCGAUUAUAGGGACUUCAUAGUUAAGCGUGCUUAGCUUGAAGAAAUUCUAUGUUGGGUGACCUCUUGGAAAUUUUCCUAGGAUAUAUGUGAGUGAGGAAAAGCAUGAUGAAAGAUUUCGUGUUGGUUUGUGAAGAGGAAUUUCAUUCUAAUAAGUUUUUAAGAAUAGUAAGGAUGAUGCUGCCAGGUCGCAGGGGAUGCAGAGAAUGCUGGAGAUACGAAUUCCAAAUCCUAAGUUUAAGGUGUUACAUUUUGGUUUCAAAAACUUUUGGAUUUUGUGAGAGGUAUAGACGUUCAUAUUCGAAUAGAUACAAAGGUAUAAUAUUUCCUAAACCCUAAUUCUUUUAAUUUAGGGUUGCAAGUUAAAUAGGUGCAAUUAGGGUAAUUUUGUAUUCCAUUUUUCCACUGCGCAUGUCUCUUUCUAACAUAGACUAUGAAGAAAGUUUCUCUAUCUUUGCCAUGCUAAAGUCAAUUAGAAUAGUCUUAUGCAUCGCCACGUUUUAUGAUUAUGAAAUUUGGCAGAUGGAUGUCAAGACAACUUUUUUUGAAUGACAAUCUUGAAGAGAGUAUCUAUAUUACUCAAUUAGAGGGGUUUAUAGAUCAAGAUCAAGAACAAAAGGUUUGUAAGAUUAAAAAAUCCAUUUAUGGAUUAAAACAAACAUCUAGAUCCUGGAAUAUAAGAUUUGAUACUAUGAUCAAAUCUUAUGGCUUUGAUACAAAAGGUUGACGAACCUUAUGUUUAUAAAAAAGGUCGUCAAUUCCAUUGUAGUAUUCUUAGUCUUGUAUGUAGAUGAUAUUCUACUUAUUGGAAAAGGACAUAGGAUUUCAUACUAAUAUCAAGAAAUGGCUAGCUAUGCAAUUUCAAAUGAAAGUUCUGGGAAAUGCACAAUACGUUCUUAAGAUCCAAAUUGUACAGAACUGCAAGAACAAAACACUAGCCAUGUCUCAAGCAUCUUAUAUAGACAAAAUGUUGUCUAGAUAUAAAAUGUAGAAUUCCAAAAAGGGUAUGCUAUUAUACAUCUACGGAAUUCAUUUGUCAAAGGAACAAUGUCCUAAGACACCUCAAGAAAUUGAGGAUAUGAGAAAAUUUUCCUAUGCUUCCGCUGUUGGAAGUUUGAUAUAUGCAAUGUUGUGUACUAGAUCUGACAUUUUUACUUAGUAGGGAUGGUCAGUAGGUAUCAGUCCAAUCUUGGAUGUGAUCACUGGACAACCGUUAAGAAUGUUCUAAAAUAUAUUUGAAGAACAAAACACUACAUUUUCGUGUAUGGUACAAAAGAUUUGAUCCUUACUGGAUACACUCAUUAUGAUUUUCAAACUGAUAAAGAUGCUAGAAAGUCUACAUCAGGAUUAGUAUUCACUCUAAAUAGAAGAGUAGUAGUUUGGAGAAGCAUAAAACAAACUUGUAUAGUUGAUUCCACAAUGGAGGUAGAAUACGUAGCAACUUUUGAAGCAACAACAGAAGCAUUAUGGCUAAGAAAAUUCUUGACAGAUCUGAAAGUCGUUCCAAAUAUGCAUCUAUCAAUCACUUUAUACUGUCACAACAGUGGUGCAGUUGCAAAUUCAAGAGAACCUAAAAGCCGUAAACGGGGAAUACAUAUCGAACGUAAGUACCAUCUUAUCAGGAAAAUUGUACAUCGUGGUGACGUUGUAGUAACCCAGAUUUUUUCAGAGAAACUGUGGAUGCCGCCCGCUUUGUAGUUAGUACAAACGAGGUGAUUCUGAAUCGUUCCAGUACAUACAUGAAUGACCCGUUAGUUAACGAAUGUUGAUUAACUCAGUCUAUAAGAAUUUAGUCAAUUAAUCUUGAAUCAUUGGAGUCCAUGAUAUAUAGGUCCAUUAGGUUCCCUUGCUAGCUCAUAUGGAAUAAACUUAAAAUAGUGUGAUGGAAUAAGUCGAAUUGUUCGAAUUGGGAGAAGAGAGAGAAACUGACAAGUAUAUGUGUUAUAGCCAUCGAAUUUCAUAUUAGAAAUAGAGCUUUGAGUUGUUGGGCUUUAGUAUUCCAUGGACAUGCAAUUUUGCAUGGAAAAUCCUUAUAAAUAGGGUCGUUGACCUCAUUUGAUGGACUGGCUAAUGAAUUUGGGCUCUUAUACCAAAUUGGAUUUCUUUUUCUUAUUUACAUAGAAAAAAAAAUUACCAAGCCCAUUUCUUUUUCCAUCUAUUUCUUUCUCUCGGUACUGAGUCUAGAGGAUAGUAGGUGAACCCUAUUUUAGAAUAUAUUGAAGGAUGAAACGUAACUCUUUCACGGAAGUGGGGGCUCUCCACUCCUUAAUAGCUCACAACUUAUGUUCAUCCAUUCAAAUCUUUCUACAUUCGAUGAUGUGACCCAGAAAAUUGAUACGCUAUUUAGCAAAAACACUUUUCUCUUUCUUGAAAUAUAACUGAUUAUGUUGGAGCUUGUCAAAAGUCAAACUCUUCGACACGCUCUUCCAUUUGUGCGAUAGAACUUGAAGAGCUACUUCCACGUUCAAAACUACCUACUUUGGUGGUUUUAUGUUCUAACGAAUCAACCCUCAACGCCAAUUCAUUUAUGGGUAGUUUGUCUAUUUAGGCAUUCAAUGCGUCUAUUUCUCUGACUUUUUCUUUAAACAUCUCAAGUUAGGUCUGGAGAAAUCUUACUUCCUUUGGCAAUUCUUUCAUAUCCAAGAAUUCCUCUUCAAUCUCAGUCAGUCGCUCAGAUUGCAACUUUGAUAGUUGUUUCAUUGUCGACAUAAUUGCAUCUCGCUUAGCCAAGGAGCUAAGAAAGCUUUAAUACCACUUGUCACAAAAUGCAACUUUUCAAAUACGGGACGGGCGAUUGUGCAACACUUGUUCUAAAUUGAUGAACAAGGCAACCUUGUGAAAUUUGAAAGUUGCGGAUAAACUCAUGGUACGAUGUAGCCUCGCUUCAUCUUUUGAGAGAAAUUGGUUGUAUAAAACGUGAGAGAUAAAGAAAAACAUUGAUAACAUCCUUAAAGAAAAAAUUGAAUAUUGUCAAUUGCAAAGAAAGCUUAGAUUUGCAAAAAUCACAAUAGGGCUUAGUUGGGGAUUCAACUACCAUGCCUCCCCUACAAUACAUCUUAAACUUUUUUAGCAUUGACAACAUUGCAUAUGAAAAUUGCGAAACGACGCACCUUAGGUCGGUGACAACAAAAGGAAAGCAGUUGACUAAACUAAGUACAAAGCAUAAAGAUAAAGUGGUUUGAGGAUAUACGAGCAUACGACCAUAGGCAAAUAAUGCCUUGGACAAGCACACUUGUGACACUCUGCGUGCCACAAUCGCAAUCUUUCAAACAUGGAACGGACAAUUGUAGAACACUUGUUUUGCUCAGUCAAUAAGUCAGUCAUGUAAAAUCCGAAAAUCACGAACAAACUCACGAUAUGAUAUAACCUCCCUUCCCGUUCUUGAAAAAAUUAUUUUAUAAAAUGUGAGAGAGAAUAUCAUUAAAAACAUCAUUAAAGAAAGCGUUGAAGACUUUCAAUUGCAAAUAAAAAUUUGAUUAUAAAGAAUACGAUAAGACAUGGUUGGGGAUUCAACUAUUGGGUCUCUUCUAUAGUACAGUUUAGACUUUUUGAGCUUUGACAGGUUUGCAAAUGAAAAUGUGUGACACCUCACACCCUAGGUCUAUGACAUAAAAAGGAAAGCAAUAGACUAAACUAAAUACAAGACAUAAAGAAAAGGUGAUUUGGGGGUAUUUGGGCAUGUGGCCAUAGAUAAACAACGCCUUAAACAAGCAUGCUGGUGAGAACAGAAGCUUAUAGUUAGCUCAGUAUUAAGAUUAAGUUAUAUUUGAUAUCUAUCAAUGAAAUAGUAAGUUUUUCAAAGUUAACGGUGUUAUAACUUAAAAGUGACUAUUUCAUGGUUCUAGUCUUUUGUAAACUCUUUACAUAGGAUGUCCACACUUUCAUGUCUCUAGGAUUUAGGAUCACAUCGUUUAUACUAAAUACAAAGCAGACUGCAUUCAUUGUGUCCUGGAAUAAGGUGCCUAACUGUAUUCGUACAAUCUAUACUAUUUAGGCUCUAUACUUAAACUUGAUCAACUUUUAUGUCUCUACAUAAAGUUCAAGUUUACUUAAUAAUAACUUCGGGUCCUUAGUUUAUUGGCUUUAAGAUUAUAGUAUCAAUAACGACUUUAAUGAAUAGAUUAUGAUUACAACGAGUUUUAGGACAUUUAUUACAACAUCUAGUUCUUACAACUUUUGAUUCUAGAGUGUCAACUCUUGUCAACAACUCUUAAAUGGGUAAUCCAUCGAGAUGAUCGAUCAUUGCAGCAAUAGUGUUAGUGAUAUAUAUUAAACCACCAAUUGUACGUCUGUAAUUAUCAUAAAAAUAAUAAAACUACAAACACAAUGCUUUUCUUUCGAUUCUUACGUUUUCACGUAAGCUUUGGUUUCGUAUAUAUUGCUUUCAAUAUGGUAUUAGAGCUCAUUAAGCCUAAACGGAUAUUUGGUUCAAGAUAGGUGAAACCAAAGAGGCACCAUCUUGAAGGGGCAUGUUCCCACAAUUGAAAAACCAAGGAAACUUAGACUCCUUAUAAAAUAGAUGAGCUACUCCUCUCAUUGCCAAUUGGUAUUGUGAUGAAACCUCAUACUUUGGUAAUAUAUAAUUAAAUUUACCUUCAACCACUAGCUUAAGCUUUUGGGUGAAUUUGGGGUUUAAUAUGGUAUUAGAGCAGGUGGUCCAAAAGGUCUUAUGUUCAAGUCCCUGUAUUGGUGUUUCCUUCCCAAUUAAAAUUGAUUUUCACUUGUUGGACCUUUUAGAUAUUUCGAACCCAUAAGUGGGGGAUUGUUAGUGAUAUAUAAUUAAAUUUACUUUUAAUCACUAGCUUAAGAUUUUGGGUGGUGGUUUAAUUAAUAGCAUCAGCUUUCUAAAAAAUUUCUUCAAGGCGGGUUUCCAAGAAGCGAAUUGAGUUAGGAACUUUCAUUAGGUAGAGCAUUUGCUCUUCAACCUUUACCAGUCGGUCCACAUGGGCCUUGCCCAACUAUUUUGUUAUGGACAUGUUUACAUUUUAACCGUUAAUAAGCCAACUUAGGCUAUCACACCCACCACGAGCACCUACUUGCGUGGCUCGAGAUAUGGCGUGAAGCCAAUCGAUAGCACCCACGUCAAGAACGACACUAUCUGACCCUUAGCCUGAACCUUUAAACUCUAAACAACAGCGGAAACAUAACACAUAAGUUUUACUAAAACCAAUUGGGCUAAACCUUUUUCAUUUAACAACCUUAGACAAGUUUUACAUAGAAAAAACGUAAUCUUAUUUAUCUAGAACAAAACCUUAUAAAACCUUUCCAAAAGCAUAAGUCUGAUAGCACAAAAGACUAAUUUACCAUUAGUACAAAAUAACAGGACACAUACGAUAACAAAAUGAAAUCCUUCAGUAGACAGGUUCAAGUUAGGCUUAGAGGACACGAUCUCUACCUAGAAAGUGGGAAAACAUUUUGAAUAUUAUGCAUUUUGAAGAGUAAACAAUAUGCUUGAAUAAAUACCUUUAAACAAUAACACGCUUGAAAGACUUUUCAUAACAUAACUUAAACAUUUUAGCAUAAAUCCGUCAUAAAUCAUGACUUAAGAACAUGCUUGAAAUCACUUUAAAUAAAACAUUUUCCACUCAAAGAUACAAGCUCAAAUCCUUGGUUUAUAAAUUUGUAUGAUCUUCUCAUGUCCUGAAAUAAUGGUAAAAUAGUACAAUUAAUUAUCUUUUGCCAAGAAAAUAUCAAAAGUAUACUUAAAAAACUCAAAAAAUUACCAAAUAGCUCAACACGCAAUAUGACACUGCCUGACACGAAUGGGUGGGCGGCAGGGCCUUGGUUGGGCGCUGGCUAGUGUGUGUGAAUCUCACAAGAGGCUUUUCACGCGCGUUGGGCAUGCCCGCGUGCUAACCUCACACACAAGCACAUUGUGAACCUCACUUGGUUGCGUGCUUGGCAUUUCGUGUAGCCCUCCUCGUGUGCAUUCUUGGCUAGUGCAUUUCUUGUGUCACAAUCGCGAGCUUUCAAACACGAGAGGAGCGAUUAUGUUGCACUUGUUUUACGUAGACAACAAGUUAGCUGAUCAAAAUCCAAAAACCACGGACAAACACAUGAUACGAUGUAGCCUCUCUUCACGUUCUUGAGAAAAUGUUUUAUAAAACGUGAGGAGAAAGAAAUUCAAUGAAAAUAUCGUUAAAGCAAGCAUUGAAGAUUGUCAAUUGCAAAGAAAAACUUUGAUUGCGAAGAGUGCAACAAGGCUUGGGCAGGGAUUCAACUACUAUGUCCCAUCUAUAGUACAUUUUAGACUUUUUUAGUUCUGGUAGGCUUGCAUAAGAAAAAGCCAAGUCACACCCAAGGUUUAUGACAUAAAAAGGAAAGCAAAAAGUAAAACUAAAUACAAACAUAAAAACAAUGUAAAUUUUGGGUGUUUGGGCAUGCGGCCAUAAGCAAACAGCGCCCUGGACAAGCAUGCUUGUUACAUUCUCCCGCUCUUAAACAAUUGGCGUCCCUGUCGACUGGGUAUACCCUUCAGCACAUUCCUAACGUGUUUCUUCCGCAUGGAGGUUCUUUCACUUCAGUAGGAAUUCAUGUAUCCUCUUCAUGGGUAUACCCUUCCUCACUCUCUUAGGAACGAUUUCUUCCAUUUCUUUAUCGUCUUUCUGCUUUAGGUCACUAGAUGACCAUACACCAUUGUUGCACUACUGGUCAUCUGGAUCUUGAUGGUAAGGUUUCAAGUUGCUCACAUGAGCUACUAGAUGAUUUUUUAUCCAUGCAGGCAACGAUACCCUAUAUAAUGCAUUUCCAAAUUUCUUCAAAACUUCAACAGGCCCUUCGUAUUUUCUGGUGAGAUGUUGAUGUUGAUGUCCUCUAAAUCAAAUUUGCUUUGCUUUAAACUCUAUGAAGAGUUGGUCUUCCGCUCAAAACUUGAGAGGAUGAUGCUUCUUAUCAUACGCUUCGAGACUUUCUCUUAGUAUGCUCGAGCGAUGUUCGUAGUCUUCUCCCACGUUUUCGUAAAGUUAUGAGCUUGAGGAUUUUUUCCUGCAUAAGGAUGAUCAACAAUAUGAGGCAGUAUAGGUUGUCUUCCACUCAAGAUUUCGAAAGGACUCGUUCUUGUGGAUAGACUAGUUUGUGCAUUAAAACAAAAUUGAGCCACAUCCAUCAACUAGGCCCAAUUCUUUUGUCCAGAAUCAACAAAAUAUCGUAGAUAUUCCUUAAGCAUACAAUUGAAUCCUUCAGUUUGGCCAUUCGUCUGAGGAUGGCAGCUUAAGGAUAUAUUUAGGCGUGUCCCCAAGAAGGCGAAUAGUUCGGUCCAGAGAGUACCAAUGAAUCUACCAUCCCUGUCACUCACAAUGCUUGAUGGAACUCCUCAUAACUUCAAGACGUUCUUAAAGAACAAGUGUGCUAUCAGCUCGACAGAACAUAGUUUUGUAGUGGGGAUGAAGGUAGCGUACUUCGAGAACCAAUUGAUUAUAACCAAGAUGCCUCAAAGUCGUUCACCUUUGGGAUGUGUAAUAAAAUCCAUGGAUUUCGCACAUUCAGGGAAUUUCAAUGUGUUCGACUGACUUUCCAAAGUUAGUUGAAGCUGUAGGAUUUCGGACAAACACUUUUGGCCAAACAAAGAGCAAAACUCCACACUUCCCUAAUCCUACUCUUCCAGCUCCUUGGCUCAUACAGCCUCUACGAUCUCUAAAUACUGAUAGGCCCAUGGUAGUGAAGGUGUACACCCGUAGGCACAAGAAAGGAUUCAGGAGAGGAGGAUGGGAAGCUGUAUUUGUUGGUCUGAAUGUUGCUAGUUAAGGGGGCCAUGAGUCUUUUAUGCUUUCAUAUAAAUGCUAUUAUGAUUGUUUGGGGAGGGUAUGUUUUGGCAUAGCUUGUAUCAGGUUUCUUAGAAUAAUUGGAGAGCUAGAGAAGCUUCUGAUUCCUUCCCUCCAUUAUUGAUAAAUAAAAUUGAGGUUAAGGCUUAUCAUAUACAUACCAGUCAUUGAACUUCUCCAUAUUCCUUAAGAGGCAUAUCUUGCUUGGCUUAUUUGGCUGGCUCUACUCAUGUAGGAUUUCAAAAGGCGAAUCUGACAUCCUGCCAAAAAUGAUUAAUCAGUUUCUUUAACUGUUGAACUUUUAGGUUGUAUACUAGCAAGCACAUGAAGUUUAGGGAUUCAAUCUUUAUAUUAUUUUUAAGAGUUAUUCAAUAUCCCUACCUAAAAUAGACAAAUGAAGCUUGAAACUACCCAUAAUAUUAAUGUUGUUGUUUAAUUAUGACAUUUUGUGAUCGGUCUUUCUAACUUACGAAUAUCCAUCUUCUGAUAUGUGUUCACAUGCAUAUUUUAUGGAUGUAGAUUUUAUAGUAUUUCUUUAUUUAUUUUAUAUGGCAUUAGUUGUAUACUUUUUUUAUAAAAUAUUAAUAUAAAUAUUAAACCACCGAUUCACCAAAAUGUUUAAGCUGGUGGUUGAAAGAAAAUUCAAUUAUAGCCUUAAGCUUAAGCUACUUUGGUGGACUAGAAAGUAUAAUCUUAGAAACACUCAAUCUGAUCAAGUUCUCUGAAGCAAGAAUUAAAGUUCGGAAAAAUCUUUGCGGAUUCUUACCAGCAACUAUAGAAUUAAAGAGUGAGAACUGAGGAAAUUUUUCCCUUAAUUUUGGGGAUUUUGAACCCUUAGAAGCUCCUGUAAUAAUCCAAUUUGAUCUAUUUCAAAGUGAUUUUUCCAAUCCUAUUGAUUUAUGUAGAAUAAAUUCAGUGAUUUUAGAUGAAGGGCUCCAAAGUGAUGGUCUCCCAGAUACCUGAAUUUUCUCAAACAGAAUGCCCCAUCCAUCUCAAGAAAUCCUUUCGAAGCACUUAGGAAGUUGGGUGAGGAAGAAGAAAACCUUGUUCGACCGGAAAAAAUAAUUUUCAGAAGGCAAAGAGAGAAAAACAGACCUCGAAAGAAGAAAAGACAGGCACCCAAGCAUUUUAUUAUCUAAAAAAAUAGCUCACCUAGCCCUCCCCAACCAGAUUUUUUCAAACUUAAUGUAUCUGCAGAUAUUUUAAAAGCUGACACACAGAUGGUAGGCCCCAAGAAUUUUAUUAAUCAGAAUUCCAAUGGCUUUUGGUAUUCUGACGAAUUGGAGGAAGAAUCAGAGUCCUCUCCUCCAUCAAGGAACUUCACUUGCGGGCCAUCUCCUGUUUUCAGUUCUCAACCAAAAUUACCAGCCUCUCCCAAGACUAAAAUAUCCUCUGCAAUGAAAGCUAUUCCAAUUCAUGCCAGAAAUUUUUCUAAGCACCUCAAGACCUAUACCAAAGGGAGAACUUCUUUUCGCAACAUUUGGAUGAGCUUGGCUAAUUCUGAUUUAUUAGAGGAAAGUUGUGUGAAGAUACAAAUUCCAAAUUCAGUUGGCAAAAGGUCAGUACUGCCUUCCUCCUUAAGUAAUAAAUUUUCUCAAUCCUCCUCCAAACUUUCUGGUUCAUUCUUUAAUUUUGUGCAAGAUACUUCUUGUCUCAAAAAAGUUAAGAACCUAGAAGAUGAAUUCAUGGAAGUUGAAUCAGUCACCAGUGUAAGUAGUGCAGAAUUUGAACCAGUUGAGGAAGAAAUAAUUCAAUCAGAGACAGAGAAACAAGAGGACAGUGACUCUCUCGAUUCAGAUUUUAUUAAAUUGUUUUCCUCCCCAUAAAAAGAAAUUUUGUGCAGAUCAGCAAGUAUCCUUCCCCCUCAAGAGUUGGUUCCUUUCUUGGCAGCAUGUGAAACUGAAUUGAUAUAAGGCAGAGGUAGCAAAGAUGGAGAUUAUAUCAUGGAACACUAGAGGAUUCAUGGGCCAUUCGAAACAAUUGGCUAUUAAAAAUCUUUUGAAGAAAGCUAAUCCAGAUAGAGCAUUGAUUCCGGAGACCAAAAGAGAAGAGAUUGCCAGUUGUAUUAUAAAGGCACUAUGGAGUUCAAAAGGAAUUGGUUGGGUCUUUGUUUGAAGCUAGUGGCAGAUUAAGAGUUUUGCUGAUUAUGUGGAUAAAUAUAAGUUGUCGAUUAUUGAAGUUCGGUCAAGAGAAGGAAGGUCAUUACAGUGUGGCUUAUAAGUUGUUUCAACAUUAAUUUAUAAGUUGUUUGGAAAGGUUCUCGCAGAAAGAUUAAAGAAAGUCAGGCCAGGUAUUUCUUUGUAAGACCUCCUAUUAUCUAUACCUAUGAAAGGAAGGGUAGAAAGGGAAAUUCCUUAGCAACCAAUGAUGAGAGAAUAAUGGGAGAGGAUCCUGCAGGUGGGGCCCACCAGGAGGGAUGAGAGAGAGAGGUAUAAAUAUGUAAUGUUGGGGUAGGGGAGGCUAGGUUUUUUGGUUAUUUCAAGGAGAGUAAAGGCUGCUGUAGCCUGAGGGUAUCCAGCCCCGUAUAAAGGAGCUGGGUAAGUUUUCUAUGUUGUUCUUCCUUUAUUUUUCAUAUCUACUACUGUUGACUGUGUUUUGGCUUUUACAUAAAUAAAGAAUUACAGGGUGCUGCCUCUGUUUAGCCAUUUGGUUAGGAUAUUUUGUGUUUUAUUGUUAGAAUCCUAACAUACUUCUCCAUUACAAUGUGGCUUUCUGGAAGAGUGCCAAAUCUUGGAUCCUAUUUUAAUAGCAAAAGAAACUGUGGAGGUAUAUAGUAUCUGAAAAAAGAAAAGAUGGAUCAUUAGAUUAGACCUUGAAAAGGCCUUUAACAGAGUGGAUUGGAAAUUUUAGAAAAUGUAAUGCAAAAGAAGAUCUUCGACGUAGGAUAUUGUGUUAUAUUGGCCAGCCUUUACAGCAUCCCCACUUUGAAGUCUUUGAUGAUCAGGACUUUCGGAUCAGCCCUCUUCUUCAAAUAGUUUUUGCUCAACCAAUCAAGGCUUAUUCUUCUUUGUUCUCAGCAUGCUGCCUUUGAUUAUGAUUUUGCUUUGGAAAGAUUCUUUUUAUCAUUUUGUUUGUCUUUGUUUUUGUGGCUUUUUGUUUUGAUCUUGUGUUGUCGCUUUUUGGAUGUUUUGAGGGCACUAAGGGGGUGUCAACCUAGUUUGAGAUGCCCGGAUGCGCCUAUUGAUCUUCCCUCUCCCCUUUUGCUCUUUGUAUAAUCCUCAUGUACAUUGAGCUUUGUCUCUUUCUUUAUAUUAAUAAUAGUGAGACUCGUAUCCUUUUUUAAAAAAAGAAAGAAAAUUCAAUUAUAUAUCACCAACACUCUCCUCACUUGUGGGCUUGAAAUAUUUGAAAGGCCCAACAACUGGAAAUGGAUUUUAAUUGGGGAGGAAACGACAAUGCGAGGCUUGAAGACAAGACCUUCUUGGACCACCUGCUCGGAUACCAUAUUGAAAGGGAGACAAACAAACACACAACUUUACGUGGAAACCUGUGUACCAGGAGAAAAACCACUAUAUUUUUCUUCUUAUUAUUUUCUGAUGAAAAAUACAAUAGGUACAAGGGAGAAUAAAUAGAAUAUACAGAGGAAUAAAAAAGGAAAAUAUUUAGGAAUUAAGAAAAAUAUUCCCAUAAACUUUUCGUAAAUAUUCUAAGAUUCUAACAAUAAAAAGUUCUAUUUAUUCCAAAUUGUGACUGCUCUAAUGUGCAUUUGUUUUCUGAUUUAGAUGAUUGAGGAGCUUGGUGGUUCUCUCACUGCUUAUGGGAGUACAAGCACUCAUGUCAUUACAGGAAAAGUGCGGAAAACUCUAAAUUUUUGUAUUGCUCUCUUUUCAGGGUUAGUCUUCCAACCUUAGACGAACACUCUUCUAUGUGUCCUUUUGGCCUUUGAAUACCGAUAAUCAUCUCAUUUGCACCAAAGUUAGCGAUUCCAUGCACACAAGGCCUUUGCCGUUAUUCUUCCAUUGGCUCGUAGUUGUGUUUAGGCUGGAAAUUGUUGUGAACCUUCUAGAUCUAAAAGGGCAUAGUUUCUUAUUCUACUGCCUGUUUACUUUUAGUUAAACAUCAAAAUCAAUUCUUAUAUUUGAGUUGGAUUGUAUCAUGCUCUUCCUUUUCAGUUGUUUCUAUCAUGAUGGUGGGUAGUGGUUGUUAAGACAACCAUUAGGCUAAUUUGGGUUUCAGGCUUACUUUUCCCAUUUUACGUGUAAAAUGGCUCAAGCUCACUAAUGAAAGAUAUUUGUUGGCUAGCUAGUGUUUUUAUCCUCGAUUUCCUUCUUCCCCUAAUACAUUAUGUUAUGGAAUUUGUUAGAUACCUAGAUUAGUAUAGGGUUGGGGUAUAAGGGUAAUUAGAGUUAUUGUGUAAGUGUGGUUACUAGUAGUUAUUAUUUAAGUGUGGUAACUAGGCUGGUUACAUGUUAUUAUAAAUGGAGGGAGGGUAAGUGGGGAGAAUUCUGGGGAGUGAUAUAAGGCUUGGGUGAGAGUACUCAAGAGGGAGGGUUCCAAUGCUUUAUACUUGGUUUUAUCUUGUAUUUUCUUAUAGUUACAUUAUAAUAAAUUCAGAUCUUGUUCUUGUUAGGAAGCAUAUGUCUCCAAUAUUAUUUAAAUACAGUAGAAGAAUUAAAAAGGGUAAUAUUGACCCACACGAGAAUAUAGGAGAGAUUAUAGGAGGAGAGAAUAUUGGAGGAGAUCUUUCCCAUUAGUUUGUUAGUAAAGCAAAAUAAAAGGGAGGAAAGAGGAGGGAGAAAGGGGACAAAAUAUUCCAAAGAAGUAGAGGCUGCCGUCUUUCAUGCUCGGGAGAAGUAGAGGGUCCAAGUCAAGUUCUUUUUAUUGUUUGUUUUGGUCAUUUUCAUGGUUGCAGUUUGUUCUUAGUUUUUCUUGUUCUUUGUUGUGAUCCUCACUGGAGUGUGCCUUUAGGAAGUAGAUGUGAGUGAUUUUUUAUUCUCUAUACUGUAAUUCGUUGAGGUAAUUCAAUAAAGUAAGAUGCACUUGCCGUAUAUUUACAGUAUCUUAACAAAUUGGUAUCAAAGCGAUUUUACUUGGGAGAACGAUAGAGCAGCACAAAAACGGAUCGAAGAGAAGUUGGAGACCUCUGAUAAGGAAAUCUCAGGGAUACAAGUUCAGUUACACAAGUUGCUGGCAAUUGAAGAAAACUUGUUAUGCUUGCCAAAAAGCAUCGAAAGACUAGUCAUCUAGUUGGAAAAACAAGAACGGUUGCUAAAUGCAUCAAAUGAAUAGCAGAAGGAUAAUUCGACAAUCUCCGGAAGAAUGGAAGGAUCAUCGAGCAAAGGACAAACGAUUGAGAGUAUCAUCGAAGGUGGAGGUAAGACAUUGAAGGAAAUCAAGGUAGAAGGUAAAACAAACAAGUUUGAAAUGGAUGAAAACUCGAACGAUCAUAGCAAAUUCAAGAAGGUUGAAAUGCCUGUGUUCAGUGGCACUGAUCUGGAUUGUGUUUAUUUAGAACGGAUUGGAAUCUUCAGGUCCAUAAAUCGAUGGAUUCCAAGAAGUUGCUAAAUCCAUAGAAGAAUCGAGGAAAACAUGAUUGCAACGGUUAUACAACGAAGGUGAAGAGGAUGGCAAAGAGUGACCAAGAAGAAACUAUAGAGGAAGGUCGACGAGGAUUACCUGUGAGGCUCGAAAUGAAGACUCGAGUGAAGAAAAAUUUGUUGCUCAAAGAAACACAAAAUGGCUGGUUGCAAUGGAGAAAGAAGAAGCCGACAGUUGCCGGUCUACAGAGGCUCGAGAAGGUGGUCUGGAAUAGGGGUGAAUCACGUGACGAGGAAGAAGUUGUUGCACACAUGAUGGUGCCAAUGACGUGGUAGAAAUUGGUAGGAAAGAGGAUUAAGACAAAAGUAACAAUCUUGGGUUUUACUAUUUCAAGUGGGCUUCAACUUACUCUAAAUAAGCUUCAACUUAUUCUAAAUAAAACAUUGGGGGCACAUCAUUUUGUAGAUGAAAUGGGUGGAGAGUUCCAAAAAUAGGAGGGAAGAAAAACGUGUAUGUAGGUGGGUCCUAGGAAUGAAACCGGCGGCAGUAUGAUUUUGGUCUUGACGCAACACUUUGAUUAUGGCCUAGCCCAAUAGAGAUGAAGAGUUUGAAAAUUAAACACUUGUUGGUGAUAUGCAAAGGGUUAACUAAGACAAUGUGUUUUGGAAAAGGAAAAUUCAAGUACAUUGGGCUGCUUUGUGGGCUGAAGUCAAUGGACCUUAUUGGAAUCGAGAGUUUUUCAAAGCCGAAGGGGAGGAUUUCUUUUUCAACAUUGAAGAGCAGAAUGCUGGGGAUUGUUUGCAAUUAAAAAGAGAAAAAAAGAGAAAGGGGCCUUGAUCAUGUUUGUAAGCACACCUUGAGGACAAGGUGUUUUGAAGGAUCGGGUAAUGUUAGAUACCUAGAUUAGUAUAAGGUUAGGGGUAUAAGGGUAAUUAGAUAUUUAGAAAGUUACUAGUAGUUAUUAUGUAAGUGUGGUUACAUCUUAUUAUAAAUUGAGGGAGGGUAAGUGAGGGGAGAAUUCUGGGGAGUGAUUAGGGCUUGGGUGAGAGUACUCAAGAGGGAGGUUCCAAGUGCCUUAUACUUGGUUUUAUCUUGUAUUUUCUUAUACUUCAUUAUAAUAAAUUAAGAUCUUGUUCUUGUUAGGAAGUAUCCUAAUAGAAUUCCUCUAGAAGGUCUCAUGUUAGCGAAUGAUAAUCUGCGUUAAGUGUGUAUUUGUAGGAGUUCUUCUCCCGGGCAUCUAUGGUUGAUAUUCUUUACCUUUCAAUAUAUCAAAGCCAAGGAUUCUUUUGCAUUUCUCUAUGCUUUUUCUUUACCCAUUUAUGCUUUUUUCAGUUAUAUUUGAGAGUAGUAUUUCAUUUCUUUCAUGUGAAAUGUUGAACUUCAGUAGUGUGGAGAGUGGAACGUAAUAUCUUACCUUUUAUAUUAGUAAACUUGAUUUUAAGCAAUGUGUUUUUGAAGAUUUUAUGUUGUAGAAUGUUUUUUGUUCUUCACGCUACUGUUCUUAACUUUAUUUUCUCCUGUUAAUGUUCUCAAUGAUUAUCGAGCAUAUGCAUUACCAUGUGGCUUCAAGCGUGUCAGUGUGCUCUUGCUCAUAAUUUUUACUAUAUCUUGUUACUAAAAUUGCAAGUUAAUUGCAAAUUACUCAGAGCUUGGAUUUUCUCCUCCAGUUGGUUAAAGGAAAGCUACCGGGAAGGUAGAUUUGUUGGUAAGUUCGAAUGGCUUGCUAGUAUCAAAGCGUAAUGUAUUUUCUUCCACUUAUGUUUUUCAUCCUACCUAAUUUUUGUGAUUGAUUAAUUCCUUAUUGAUCUGUAGACGAGUUGCCUUACAUACUAAAUGAUGAUGACUACAUAUCGAAGUAUCGAGCCAGCCUAAAAGCUACAGUUCUCAGGGCAAAAGCAUGUCCUGGAGCUUUAUUUGAAGGGUAUAAUGUUUGCAUAUCAGCUCACGCUCAACCACCACCUAAAACUCUAUCCUUGAUACUCAAGUCAGCCGGUGGAAAUGUAAGUUCUCUGUUAUUAUACAAAUCUCGAGUACUAGGUUUGGUUCUCUAUAUUACAUAUACAACCACUAUAAUAUGGCUAUCCUCCCAUCUAAUGAAGAUGUGAAGUUCUCAACAAACAAGCACGUAUAUGAAUUCUAGACAUGGGUCAAUAAAUCAUAGACAUGGUGACGUGCCAUUUUUUUCUAAAAAAUAUAGGAUAGCGCUAGAACACAGUUUUAAUAUAUAUAAUUUAAAAAGUAUGUAUCAUAUUUAUAUAGAAAUUCAAAGUCAAUAAGUUUAUGUAUUUAUAUGCUUAAAAAUAAGCUUGUCCUUCACUCAAAACUUAUUCAAAGCCAAGAGUUUAAUAUGUGUGUGUGACCAAUCUUGACCUUUAUUACAUUGGAAUACUUGUUGUCUAACACAUCUACUGUACUAACUAGUGUUCAACACGUGUUCUCCGAGUGUUCCAUACAUAUUGUUUAUUGAUACACUAGCCAAACUUGAGUGUAUGUGCUUCUUAAGUCUUUAAUAUUUAUGUUUGUUUUGAUCCUAGGAAUUGAGCAUGUAAUGUAAAAAGUCUAUGCACAAGGGGUCAUAUGGCCAUCUCCGUGUUUCUUUAAUUAUCAAAUUUGUUCAAGUUUUUAAUUGUCUCUAUAUCGAAAUCUGGAGUUAUUUUUUGUGAUUUGGUGUACAAAUACAUACAUCCAUGUUUCUAAUUAUGAUUAGAUUGUUUUCUUGUCGCAACAUUUUAUUGUUUAGCUUGUCUUUGAUCUUGAACUUACUAAAAUAACAUAUUUUCAAAAUUAAUUACUGUAAUAGUUAAACAAAAGAUUCUUUCCCUUAGAACUUUUAAAGUUUGUCUAGUUACCUCUUAAACCUUUCAAUUGUUUAAUAGGUCUUUCAAUUUUAUGUUUUAAGUGUCUAUAAAUUUUGAUUUUUUUAUUUAAUAGAUAUAAAUCUGAAGAAAUGAAUAAAGUAGAUUUGUAAGUUUAAAAUAGUUUAAAAGUUGAGAAAUUAAAUUUGUAGUUGAAAAAGUUGGAGUAAAUAGUUUGUGUUAAGUCGGGUUGUGAUAUUUUAUUUAUUUAUUUUAAUAAUAGAAGAGAGGGAGACGAAAACUGCUAACUGAAGGGAGAAGAAGCGGUGGCUGACUUUGUAUAUUUCUCCUUUCUUUUCAAAUUGAGAAAAUUUCUUUGCAAUUCACUUUGAAAAGGAAAUGAAUAUUUCUCCCUCAGACUUAUCUCUCUCUUCUUUUCAAUUUAUUUUCAAUUUUUCUGUGUGCUUCUCACAGUGUAUGCAUAAUCUCUCUUUCAUUUUGAUCUUCAUCUCCAUUUCAAAUAUCUCCCACACAAAGAACAAAGAAAUGAGUAAAGUAACUGAGAGAGCAUUUUGUUUUUCCCUUCAUAUGGUUGGUUACUUUUUGUCAAUUAAAUGAAAAGUGAAGAAUAAGAUAAGAUUUUCUUUACCCAUUUGCCAUCAUCAUCAAAGCUAUUUACCUCAUUUUUGUUCACACACACACAACUUCAUUUUGUUGGAUUACACUCAUUUGAGAAAAUAGCAAAAUUUUAUUAGAAGAAUAGCAAACAUGAGCAUUUCACGUGUUUUGAAUUUUCAUUAACCCUAAAAUCCCCUCGCCUGCUUUUUAGUUAAACUGUAACUAAUUUUGAAAUAUGCAAAAUUUUAGCAUAAAUAUUGAUUUUCUCCUACAUUAUCUUAACACACUUUUUUUUCUCCAAAUAUUGGAUUUGUAUCAAAUCUUUAUUUUCAAAUUUUACUUUAUCCAAAUUUUCAUUUUUCAAAAUUUCAUCGUUAUUCUACUUUUAUUUUUUUAUUUCAUAUAUAUAUUUAUAAUAUUUAAUCUUAUUUUUUCUCUUUUCCUAUUCAUCUUCUUCCUUUCUCUUCCUCUUCAACCUACGGCCACACCACCAUCUCUUUUCUUCCUUCUCUUUUCCUUCUCCAAUCAACUUCACCACCGUCUUCCACCUACACCGAACGUCAAGCAAAUUUUGUCCUAUCGUCGCAUCACCGUUAGCCCGAGUCACUCCGGUUCCGUCACGCCAUGUAUGUUUAGAUCUGAAUUGUUUGGUUAUUUGUUGCACCGAUCCGUCUCCGUUAGAAUUUGAUUCUCCACAAUUUGGGUAAGUUAUGGAAUUUACAUAUAGAGUGAAUUGAAUGGAUUAAAUUGUUUGUGGAAGUGAUUGAUUUCUCUUCAAUUAUGUUUAGGUCGGUUCGUUGCACUUUAGUUUGAAAAAGAAGCUUAAGUAAGGUUAUAAGGUAAGGAAUUCUCUACUACUGGACUUGCCUAUAGUUUUGAAUUGUGCUGUCUGUAUAGUUACCUCCGAUUGAGUAAAGAUGUUGAAACGAUAUAUAUAUGUAUGGAUGUAGACUUGGUGUUGAAUGUAUGCUGUGAAUGACUGAAAAAAAAAUAUAUACAUGGAUUGAUGUAGACUUGAUGUUGAAUGCAUAUUGUGAUUGUCUGGGAAUACAUAUAUAUAUGUAUGGAUGUAGACAGGACGACAAUUGUAGAUUGUGUUUGUAUGGAAUGUGGAUGUGAACUUGUGAUUGUCGUUUAGAUUGGGUGUAGGUUAUACUAAAGUAUGGUUGCGUACUGAUGAAUUGAGGGGUGUUAUGACUAUAUAGUUUGAUUGACUGAUGUAUUGAUAUGUUACUGGCGGACAUUGGGCUAAAGUGAGAUAGGUUGACUAUUAGGGUGUUAAGUGAAAGGAUUAUAUGUUGAAGUAGCUGGAUUGUACUAUGAAUUAGUGUUAAGAUGUUUAGAAUGGAUUGAAAAUUGUUAGAUUUCUAUUGGGUAGUUACCUUGCAGGUGUCCUACGGGAUCACCACCUGAUAUGUUCAUCCUUCGAUAGCACUAGACUGAUAUGUGCAUCCUUCGGGAGCAUUAGACUAAUAUGUGUUUCUGCGAAACACUAGACUGAUUUAUGCGUCCUUUGAGGCGUUAGACUGAUUAUGUGUAUCCUAUGGGAUCACAAGACUGUGACUGUGCAGGGUACCCCAAUAGGAAGUUAACAGUUUCUUUUUCCCCUAACGGGACCAAUAGCGGGUCUCUUAUUGGGUAUGUUUAUACUCAUCCUUUCAUGUUUAACUAUUUCAGGCAAAGGUAACAAAUGAGGUAGACCGACGAGGGACAAGAAGGAGACGUGAUUGCCAUAAGGGAAGGUCCUUCAAAUGCUUCCGCUUUAUGUUUCUUGUUUUUCCUUUGUACAUGAGGUUGUUUAAAAAUUUUGUGAUGGAACUGAGUUUACAAACUGUUGUUUUGUGAAUAGUACUUUUAAAGUUUUGGUUAUUUGAAAUAGGGCCCAAACUUAAGUUUGUUUUCUUUGAUCGUAUGAUUUCAAGUGAAUUUUACUAUAUUUUGUGUCAAUCAAGGUCUCUUUGUCAAAAUUAAUGACUUCAACUUAGUUAGAAAAGUUGGGUCGUUACAACAAAUUUUAAGUAUUAAUGUAAGAAUUAUGUACUUCAUUAUAAAGGUCGAUAGUUUAAAGUUUUUGACGAUAAUUUACAUGGAAUUACAGGAUCAGUUACCACUAUCAAUAGAAUCACUUACAAAUAUUAACACGAUCGUGUACCGAUAACAAGACGAUUGUUUACACUAUUCAAUACGAUCACCAAUAUCAUAUGAUCGUGUACCCAUGUCAACACGAUAAUUUAUUUUAAUCAAUAUUAUCAUUUACCGUUGUUAAAUGGUCGUUUAUCACGGUUAAUAGGAUCGUUUAAUGUAUAUUAUUUCAUUGCACGAUCGUUUACUUAUUCUUGCAUUGUGUUUAGUAUUAUCAUUUUGUACAUUUUAUUCUUUUAUUCAGUAAUAAAUGUAUAUCUAUGUCUAUCUAUUUCUUUCUAUCACAAUUAAAUACUUAUUUUAUUUUAUUUAUUUUUUUUACAGAUUAUAAUGUCUUUUCCUAUUGUUUUUUUACGGAGGUCAAUGGAAUGGAUGUAAUAUUUAUGAGAAUUACUUAGUUGCUGAAAUUUUGGUAGGUGUCCGAGUCAGCUUUAAUUCUCUAGUUGAUUUAAUAUGUGAACAGAUUCAAUUGGAUGGAUAAGUAGAAUUAUCUGUUUUACUUGAUUUUGGUAAAAGCAAGGUCCAACUGUGGUGCCAGUAAAGAAAGACAAUGAUGUGGCUUGGUAUUUAUCUUUUGCUAAAGAUGCAACUAAUAUACAUCCAUUAGUUGCUCAUGUAACUGUUGAUUUUUUUAGAAGGUCUUCUUCUUCUUAGAGAACUACCUGUAGCUACCAUGCUUAGUUCAAUUAGAGAUGUAUUGCAAAAGUGGUUUGAUGAAAGAAGUAAAGCUACUUUUACAAUGAAGAGUUGUUUGACUUCUUGGGCUGAGAACGUGUUGCAUUUAGAAUAACAUGAAAAGUCAAGAAUUUUAUUGGUAAGGUUUUUUUUUUUUUUUUUUAAUGUUUGUAUCUCAGGUAGAUAUAAAUAGACUGCUAUUUUUGUCCAUCCGAUAAGAGAUAGAUAGCUAUCAAUGUCUAUUUGUCUCUAUUUGUGCAUGCUUUUUUUUUUUAAUUUUUCUAUAUUUGUUUUAUGUAUUAGGUUGAUCCAAUUAGUAUGACUGAAUAGAAAGUAAUGGAUGAUACAAAAUGAUAAUGUGAUUUAUUUAUAUUGGUUCUAAUUUGAAAUAUUCAAAUUUACUUUGGAAAUUAGUAUAAUUAGUAUAAUAUAUAAUGAUACAUUAUAAUAUAAAGUUUAUAUGUUAAUGAAACUUUAUUAUAUAAAUUUAAUUUUAGAUAAAGUUCAAAAUUAAUUUAUGAGAGAUAAAAUAUUUGAAUGAGUUCAAAUAUUAAUUUAAUGUGGAUUUGUUUCAUAUUAAAACUAUUAAUUAUGAGAUAAAGUUAUAUUUGAAUAUGAUUCAAAUUUAACUUAAGUUAAAUAUAAAAUAUUUAAUUUAGUUAUUAAUUAAUUGAAGAAUUAAUUAAUAGUUUAGUUUAAUAUUAUUUAAUUAAAUUUGAUUUAAUUAAAUUAAUAUAAAACUAUGAGGUAUUGGAGAGAUAUUCAUUCAAUAAGAUUUAAAUGAAAUAUUAAUUAAAUAUGAUUUAAUUAAUUAUUAACUAAUUGAUUAAUGGUUAAUUAGUUAGUUGAUUUGAAACUUCUAUUAAUUUAAUAUUUUUUAAGUUAAUAGAAUCCUAUGAUUUUCUCCUACCCCGUCUCCUACUCAAUGAAAGAAAGAGAGUUAUAAAUAUGUAGAAGAAAAACAGCUUUUCUUAACCAAAAUAAAAUCGAUGAUUUUCUUUUCUGCAAAAUAGAUUGUAACGACCUAAUUUUUCGAAUUAAGCUGAAGUUAUUACUUUAAGACUAGAUUCGUCCUUUAACCAUAAGACUUUAUAAUUUAAAAAAAUAUAUUUUUUAACAACAUUAAAGAGUUUUUAUUCGGGCUCUAUUUCAAAUAAAAUUUUGAAAGUGUAAAAGUAUCGAUAAUAAAGAAAGUUCAAGAACAUAAAAGUCGUUCAAUCAUGAAACCCAAAACAGUCUCAAUUACUAAAGAAAACCAAAAUAAAAAAAUAUAUAAAGUAGAAGCAAUUUGAAGGACAUUUCCCUAUGGCAGUUUCGCGGAAAAAGAUUAAACAUAAAAGGGUGAGUAUAAACAUACCCAGUAAGGACCACUACUGAUCCUGUUAGAAGAAAAAUAAAAUUGUUAACUUCCUAUUGGAGGUGCCCUGCACUUUAAAAGUCUUGUGAUCAUGUAGGAAUACACAUAAUCAGUCCAAUGCCCUAAAGGACACAAAUAUUAGUCUAGUGCUCUGCAGAAAGCACAUGUCAGUCUAGUGCUCUCGAAGAAUGCACAUGUCAGUCUAUUGCUCUCGAAGAAUGCACAUGUCAUUCUAGUGCUCUCGAAGAAUGCACAACAGGUGGUGAUCCUGUAGGACACCUGCAAGGCACACUACCCAAUCGACAAAGCUAACAAUUUUCCCUUAGUCCAUUAUAAACAUUUAAUCAAUCCAUUCCUAGUAUAGUCAAACUACUCCAUCAUAUCAUCAAUCCAACUUAACACACUUACGUUCAAUCUAUUCAAUCUAUCACAAAAUCAGUUGAUACUAUAACAACACACCAGACAGUCAAGAUAUAUAUAUAUACAUAACACCUUUCUCAGUUUACAAAUACAUUAUCCAUCGUAUCUACUUCUAUACCAGUAAGUUUACAAACACUAACUGUUGAGUUUCUACAGUAGAUUCUUGAAGAUGUGACUCUUGAACAGAUGGAUUCUCAUGGAUGAUCACAUGUUUGUUAUUUUGAUGGUCAUCAUUCUUGUCCAGAUUGUGAUGACUAGAAUCAUCAUGAAGAUCAUCAUACAUGUUGUUAAUAUUCAUCAAACAAUUGAUUCUGAUUCUAGUAUAGAAAGAAAAAAGGAUAAUAAAAAAAAAUAGUUACAAAAUGAUCGUGUAUCCUUAAGCAAACAAUCGUGUAGAAUAUCUAAACGGUUGUUUUACCAAGGGUGAUCGAUAUUUUAGAUGGGAUAUGCGAUCGUUCAUAUGUGAUAUGUGAUCGUGUAAAGAUAUAUCAAACCUUUGUUCUGUCAGAAGUCGUGCUAAGAAGAGUUGAAAGCUUGUAAUAAGAUCCAUCAAAACUGAAAGAUUUUACAUCAACACGUUCCUGACACAGUAAUGCAGUAUCAAUGAGCAUCAAAUUACGUGAGAUACGUAUUAGAAAAUAUCUAACUGCUCAGUUAAUUUUUUAUGGACAUCAAAUCACCUUUUUUCAAGCUUAAGGAAGGAAAUGUCGGCACUAUAUAUGUCAGAGUUGUGCAUUGCAAUGGAAGUGCCAACACGAGGUGAUACAUGUGUGUCUUUCUGGGAUGUAAAUGCCACUCCCCGACUAGGACCAACAUAGUCUUAGGGAGAAAGCAUGCUAGGAAUUGGAGUUGUGUCCUCAAUUUCUUCAAGGGACUUGAGCAUUUCUUCUUACACUAGAAUGUCUCUGUUCAGAGAGUUUAUAGGAUUUCUCAAGGCCAUUUUUGCAUACUUAACAGCUCUUGACAACGGUAGAGAGUCUAACUCUACACUUUCAGGGGGUUCCAACUCCACCACUCGCUGAGCCAAAGAUAGAGACGAAUCAUUAAUGAUCCAGUAAGCAACAUGAAACCUUGUAAUUUUGGGGUCAACGGUAGUCCCUCCAUUACUAGCUCAACACUCAAACGGAGUCUCCUGUAUAAAAUAUAAAAUAAUACAGACACAAAUAGUGAAUGAAAUCUUGUGACGUAACAAACACAAAUUUUAGGUAUACUGCAAUUUGACUAAAUAUGAACAAGAAAACCCAAGGGAAUACACAAAAAUCCAACGUUUUUAGGGUCAAUUUGGAAAAUGGCAAAACUACUUUUUCUUUUCAAUUUUAGCAAACAACAUUUUUGCGUGCAUGGUAUUUUAUAAAAUACUAAAAUAUUCACCUUCUCCAACUAUAAUUAUUUCGUUUACGUUGUAAUUAAUUUAUGUUAUGCAUUUAUUAGCUUUUAAUUAUUUUUUACCUGAAAAAGAUACAUCCACACACACACGCACAAACGCGCACACGUGAACACUUACUCCACGCACAAGUAGACACACACCCCAUGCACACGUGGACAUGCGCAUACGCACACACGUACGCACUCGCGCACACGCGCACACACGCACACACGCACAUAUGCACAAAGAUUUAUAAAUGAAUUAAAAUUAAAAAAUAACUACAAUAAUUGUGUUUAGAAAGAGUUUUAAACCAUGUUCAUUUGACUUAAUAACAUUGAUUAAAAUUAUAAUUUCUAUCAAUAUUGGCUUAAAAGUGUCAUUCGUGUAAUUAUUUCAAUAUAAUGCGGUCUUAUCCAAUUUUACCAACAAAAACAAAUCGAAUAUGGAUCAGUAGAUCUACACUCUUUGUCAUAAGAGACAUAACAACGUUUUUAGGGGUCAUUUUGAAAAAUGACAAAACUACUUUUUCCGUUGAAUUUUAGCAACUAGCAUUUUUUGCACGUGCAUGGUAUUUUAUAAAAUACCAAAAUAUCAACAUUCUUCAACUGUAAUUAUAUUCGUCUCUACAUUGUAAUUAAUUAUGUUAUGCAUUUCUCAGCUUUUUAAUUAUCUUUUACUUGAAAUAGAUACAUCAACUCUAUCAUAAUAUUUUCUUAAUAUCUCGAGACUCAACUAAUUAAUUCAACAUAUUAAUAACUUUAUUCAAUCAUACUAAUUUCAAAUAACCUAAUUGAAUUUGAAUUUCAAAUAACAAAAUUGAAUUUCAAAAUAACAAAAUUAUUAUUUUUCGGAAUUUGAGAGUCUCAAUGAAGACUUUGUAUUAAAAUAACCUUAAUUGAAUUUCAAAUUAAAAAAUAUCAACCUGUUCACUAUCUUUAUCUCAAAAUAACAUUAAUGCCUUAAAUAUCAAGAUAAUUAAAUUAUUAUUUUAAAUUGAAGAAACUCAACAUUAAAAAAUAUUAACUUGUUCGGACACAAGCAUAGAAGCACUGCGCACACACGUACACAUGCACACUUACACACACACGCGCACACGCACACCUACACACAGACACCACAGACGCACGAACCCACGCACACACACAUGCACAAGUGCACGCAUGCACACACACACCUAUCCACACGCACACAAGCACACACACAUGUACAAACGCACACACGUGUACGCACAAACCUUAUCUCAAAAUAGUUCCUAUUUUUGCUGACAGUUUAUUUUUUGCCAUCGAUAGAGGAUCUUCAAUAGACCUACGUGACGGUGUGUGUUGACAGCUUAAUUUCGUUGGCAAAAGAAAAGUUGAUUAUUUGUCAUCGACAAAGGGUAAAUUUCUUGUAGUGCAUGUACAUCAAACAUAUCAAAUUUGUUAAGUGUACCAAUGAAGUAUAACAAGUUAGUGGUGUAUCACGUGUAUCAAACUUAUAAGUAAAGUCUUUAAGUGUAUCAAACUAAUCAAGUGUAUCAAGGUCUCAGGGGUAUCAAGUGUAUCAAGAAGAAUCAAGUGUAACGAGAAGUAUUAUGUGGAACGAGAAGUAUUAUGUGUAUGAAGAUGUUUCAAGUUUGUAUCAAAAAGUAUCGAGUGUAUCAAUGAGUACCGAGUGCAUGAAUUGUAUCUAUCAAAUGUAUCAAGUGUAUCAGUAAGAAGUAUCAAGUGUAUCAAGGGGUAUUAGGUGUAUCAGACGUGUAUAAGGUGUAUCAAAUAUACAUCAAUAACGAGGGCAUUUGUGACAUUUUACCUCUUGAUGUGUGAGUUGGUCUUUGUUUUUGUCAUUUUCUCAAAUAAAAGUAUGUGUUCUAUGGACUUAAUUAUUAUAACUUAUUUUGCCAUUUUCGCAAGUGUCCCUUAAUUGUAAUACAUGUAUAUGUGACAUAAUCUAAUCAAACUAACUCAUAAAUGGACUUAAUGUAUCAAGAGGUAUUAGUGUAUCAGACAUGUAUAAGGUGUAUCAAAUGUACAUCAAUAACGAGGGCAUUUGUGACAUUUUACCUCUUGAUGUGUGAGUUGUCUUUGUUUUUGUCACUUUCUCAAUAAUAAGGUAUGUGUUUUAUGGACUUAAUUAUUAUAACUUAUUUUGCCAUUUUUGCAAGUGUCCUGUAAUACAUGUAUAUGUGACAUAAUAUAAUCAAACUAACUCAUAAAUGGACUUAAUCUAUCUCAUGGACCACGAAUUCUUCAAUUACUUGCAAAUUUGGUGAGUUCUUCAAAUGGUGGGCGGAGAGCUUAAUUUUGAGAGAGAGGAAAUGUCGUGAAAGUACUUGCGAGAGAGGGGGAACGUCGCCAGAGAGCAUUGCGAGAGAGCUAAAGACAGCGACGAUGUGGGAUGAAGUAAGGUUUUUUUCGAUCAUUGUUCAAAGUGGGAUGAAAGCUUCGAAUUAUUUGUUUUAAUCAAAAAGCGUAUGAUUGAAGAAAACAUUGAUUUUUAUUAGGGUAAUUUUAAUGACACAUAAUUUAUGCCAUUAUUUACAAUGCCAAAAUUUUGUCAAGAAAACUCAAUUUGUGUCAAAAAAAUUUUGUAUUUUAUUUUUAACGACACAUUUUAUUCCAUCAUCAUAUCCCUUUUUCUUGAUUUCAAGUGUCAUUAAAACUUAUAUUUCUAAAUAAAUUUAUUCGACGAAAUGGCUAGAUUGGUGGGUUUGACGCGAAGGCUUGUUGUGGGAGCAACGACAACAGUGGUUGGAGUGUGGAAUCGACGACGGCAAGUGGCAAAAAUUGGAGGGCAAGGGUUCUUCAUAACGACUUGGUAGCCCACUUCGAAUUUUUUGAAAUUUGAGGUUUUUUCAUUUGAAAAUUUUUUAAUGACAAAAAAUUGUCGUUAAUUAAUGACGCAAAAUUGUGUUGAAUAAAUUAAAUUGUGUCAAUAUGAUUGUUUUAAGAAAUAAUCCAUAUUUUUAUUUUCAACAACACAAUGUACCUCAUCCCACCUCUUUUUCUUUUAUUUUCAACGACACAAUGUCUUGAUUAAAAUCCAUUUUUCUAGUAGUGACUGAAAAAAAAACUGGACAAAAUCAUAAUAUCUUUGAUAAUUAAAUCACCAGUUGGUUUGAACAUAUAUAAUCUUGGAUCUAUUCUAUUAUGAUAUGACCAUGGUACAUCAUGAACAACAUGACUAAAAACUUAAUUGAUGAGUGAAUGUAAUAAAUUUAAUACUAAUUAUAUAUCAAUACUUUACACAUGUAUAUUGGUAUAUCAGUCAAUAACAGUAGUAAGACAAAUUAUAAAUAUAAGGAUAAAAGUCCUACACAUGCAUGUAUGGUAUACUCUCUUGAUAGCAAAAUGCAUUUAUGUCAACUCAUGUUUGAAUGCAUUUAUGUAGGAAAUUCAAUAAAAUAAUUAAGAAACCUUGCAAUAUGUGAGAGAUAUACGAACUUCAAACAAAUUUUACAAGUUUCAGCAAAAAUUUGAAACAACUUUUAAAGUUUAAGCAAAAAGUAACCGUAGGUAGAAAGGGGAGCAAAAGUGGGGUCUCGAAUUAAUUAUGAAAAAUUAGUAGGCUUUCAAAAUUUAGGUUCUAGAAGUAGAAUUAUUGCAGAAAAAUAAAUAAUUGCAUCAUUCAAAUUGAAUCAAACAUAUCAGGAUGUUAUAUUCUCCACAACGUAUAAUGGAGUAUAAACAUAAAGUUUCUAUAUACAAAGCUAUGUAUCUCUACCCUUGACUUCUCUUUCUCUCUUUCUACCUUUUUUAUCCUUUCUUUCUCCCAUUCACUCAAUACACUUGCAAGAACCUUCAUUUUUUUUAUUUAAAUUUUCUUGGCACCAUCCUUUUUUUAAUUAUCAAGGCUUUGUUAUUGUGUACCAGUAUUGUGUCGUGCCUCCUUCACUUCUCAUCAUCAUUUUCAUGUCACAUCUCUACCUUGUCAAUUUUCGUUUUUCACUCAGCUUUCUUUCUUCUUUUGUCUUCACUACUUUCUUCGCUCCUUCUUCUCAAGCUCUAACUUUUGCUAUUAUCAACCAGUCUCAAAUGACCAUUGGAAAACCUAUCGCCCACUGAGAGGCAGCCAAUAUAGUAAUGCCUCUAAUGAUAAACUCCAAUGAAAUCAAAAGUUCUUCUUUAAGAUUUGGAAAAAUAUAUUAGAUAAACUCGGACGUGGUGAACGCGGUGAACGCAGACGUGGUGAACGCGGACGGACGGACGGUGAACACGGCAGAAGUUAGAGAUCCUCAGAGAGAACUUGGCAUUUUCGAAUGCGGUAGAGACAAGUCUAGGGCUUCGAAGGAUUCUUCUUUCUAUCCAAACAGUCCAAAGUAAGCCAGUUAUGGAGGAGGAAUACACAUUAGAGAGCUCAGUUAUGGAUGGAGGAAUACACAACUUUUUCUCAUGGUCAUUUUCCUCGUGGGCAUUCUCUUCAUGUUUCUUCUUAUUCCGACUAAAAUACAAGCACAAAUUAUUCUUCGCCUUCGUAUAGGUUUGUUUGAAGAAGAUUAAAAAAGUCCUUAAUUUAUCUCGACACUUCCAAAACCAGAAUAUAAUACCCGUGCUACAUAAAUCCCUCUUUCCAAAUAGUCGAACAUGAACUAUCCAUGCAUAUCUUGGAAUAAACAAGAGAAACCCUAACUAAACCCAAAUAGAAAAUACGCUGCAAUCUAAAAUAUACUUAAAGAAACAAAAAGAAGUUUUAAUGCUGUGGGUUUUUACUGAUCUUCUUCAACAACAAAAUAACUCAACGCCACAGUUCAAUUUUUCCUUCCACGAAUUGGGUUUUUAAAGAGUUUUCACCGCGAAUUUAUCUUUUUUGGUUCGACAAGUAACAACAUGUGAAUCCCCAAAUGCAAGGUUUUAUUAAAAAAUAAAAAUAUAAUUUUUUAAAAAAAUUAUAAUACCUAAUUUUUUUUAUAUAUUUAUAACCUAAUUUUCUGUCAUUGCAUACUUGAGAGAAAUAUAUUUUUCAAUUAGCAUAAUAACCUUUAUAUAGUAAAUUAAAUUUGUAGAAUGAGAAAAGACCUUAGAUCCAAAAAAGUUAUUUAUUUAUUAUUGGAGUGAAUUGUCUAAUUAAUGUAGUUAAUGGAUGGUUUUGUAACCAUAAAAAAAUAAUGAAAAUAAUUUUCUAAAAGAAUGAAUGAAAAUUUGGAAAGUUAAAAGGUUUUAGGAAUUAAAAAAAAGGGUGUAACAUUAUAAAAGACUACCAAAUAUACUGUAAGAGACAUGCAUUAAAGGAGCUGAGGCAUGCAUACUACCAAAUAUACUAUAAAUAAACCAGAAUUCUUUUUUAAGAAAUUAAACAACUAAUUAAAUAUAAAGAAGAAAGAUUAGAAAAUGAAUGAUCAAACAAACUAUGACUCAUUUAUUUUUGACAGGUUCGACCAGUAUCACCUGACAAUUCAUUUUCACCAAGAGAAUAAACAUGAGUAGCCUUGGAAUCAAGUUCCUCCGAUAAAAGCCACGGAGUUGAUGGGUUAGAGACAGAACCAGAAUUUGAGUUCAACGAUGUGGAUGGAAAAUUCUGAAACUAGCAGCAACAGGAAGUUAAGAUAACGAAUUAUUUUCAAUAUAGAAAGGCUAAUUGUAAGAAGUUGUUAAUGAAGUGUCCAAAUGCAUUAUGGUAAUAUUGGGUGCAGAUUGUUUGGAAGUUUUAUCCGUGUGCUGUGAAGCACCACAGAGUUGAAGCAUAUGAAACCAGUGUUUAUCUGACAAAAAAUAGUGUCAUGAUCAUUGCCUUUCCAUUCCAUAAAUUUAUGGAUAGCAGAAGAAAGAGAACUCUCAACACAUGAAUCACCAUAAAGACACACAUGACAACAUUAUUUUGGAUGAAGUUCUAAUAUUGCAACCAUGGAGGAAAAAUCAGCAAAUCUUAAAUAGAUGUAGUAGUCCAAAUGAUAAAAGUUUGUCUCAAGAUAAUAUUUCAGUAACUGCAGAUGCAUUGUGCUGAACCUAACCUCUUGUGUUUCACGGUAAUGAACAAGGACAAUGUGUUCAAAGGUCCUGAACAAAAAGCAGAAGCAAGUCAUAAAUUAUAUAAGUAGAACACGAUAUACUGCCACUGUCUAAUUUCAUUUUUCUUUGCUUGUGGCAUGAUGGGGAUAGACCCCACUGAAACAACUGGUAGCAAGCAAUUUAACAAUUUUCUUUCAACCAUAACAUACUUAUCUAGGAGCCAAUAACACCGGCGAACAAAGGUUGGGCUAUCUAGUCCGUGGGCAUAGUAUACAUGUAUCCUUUCUACAUUACCAACCUGCUGAAGAGAAAGAAAAGAUUAUCAAAGCACACAUUUCCUUGGUUAUUAAGGCUGUAAAAGAAUGAAAAUUACCAUAAAUCUAAACAUAGUUAAUAUUAGACCAUUGAACAACCUAUAGAUUCAAAAGGAAAGACUCAAACCACAAUAGACUGGUUAAUCAUUUAAAAUGAUCUCCAACAACAUGAUACGCAGUAUAUCGUGCUAGAUCCAUAAUUACCACAUGUGGACUCCUAUGGUAAUUUCAUUGAUGAUACGCAGCUAGUAGGCAAGAUUAUGAAAUGAAGACGGUAUGUGAGACGAUUGAAAAGAUCAAGAUGAUAAAAUUAUAGGGAUUUGAAUUUAUAUCUUAAGAACACCAGAGUCAAAUGCUUAAGAUGAUUAACUGUGUUAAAUUUAACUCUAUAAUAUAUAAAUUAUUAGCAAAAACAGUAGAAAUUUUCAAAUUUGUAGAGAGAACAUAUAAAUUAUAUUCUAGAGAAAGAGCAUCUGAAUUAUAUUCUACAGAAACACGAGCCCAUAGCAUAUCUACUGAGUAGCAAUGACAGUGAAAAAGGGAAUAGUAAGUAACUAAUCUCAUAAACCCCUUUCUCACAUCUAACCAAGUUCUUUCACAACAUGCAAAAGCAUCAAAAUAUUUAAGAAAACUUCCAAUAUUGCAUUUGGAACUCAUUGAUUGACUUCAACGUUUAAGAGUCAUAAAAGACACAGCUUACUUUCUCACCUGUCACCACUAAGCCUAUGGCAACAUCUUUUUAUAAGAUAUUCAGCUAAUCUUUAGAUUGUUUACCGAAUAAUCGUCUAUUGUUUUGUAAUUGAUCCACCAAGCGCUUGCGCCACCUUGAAGUUUGAGAGCAACUAAUCGAACCUUCUUGUGUUCGGGUGUAUUGGCAUAGUCGAAAAAAUUUUCUACGUUCUUGAUCCAAUCAAGAAACUUCUCCACGUCCAUUUGACCAUUGAAGGUAGGGAGAUCCACUUUCAUACGUAUUUCUUGAUCUUCUUGAAAGUAUGGUCGAAGUCCAAGCCUUUGUUGAGGUUCUUGAUGAAUGUUCAGCAAGUUGUCUUCAUCGGAAGAGUCAGAAUCGUUUAAGAAAUUUCCAAGUACGUUGUUUCCAUACAAUCGAUUAUUGUGGAUGUGAAUAGGUUGAUUUCUUAGUAGUUCUUGGUUUACAACAGGGUUUAUUGGUUUUUCUUGUCUUUCUUGGUUUGCUGCAAUUGGGUUUCUUGGGGCUGAAUUGCUUCUUCUAAAGGUUGGACAUGAAAUCGGGUAAAAAGGUUUGUUAAUUCUACUAACGAUUGCUGUAUAUUCGACUGCCCUUUUCGAAGUUCUUCAAUAGCUUGUUCUACCAACUGCAAGCGUUGGUUGAAGGAGGCUUCGCGUCCAUGGAUAAGAGUGGUAGGAUCCAAGUUUUUUUAGGGAAGAGUGAGCUAGGAUCACGCUCUGAUACCAAUUGAUGCAGUAAUUGCAAAGCUAGAAAUCUUUAUGUAUAAUGCCUCUUUUUUUAUGUCUUAUUAAUGAAAAUGAGAAGCUUUUUUAUAGGCUGGAGAUUACAAGAGUUGUUAAACUAACUUGGGGUUGAGUUAGUUUAACUUGGAGUUGAGUUAGUUAUAACUAACUCAAGAUACAAAAUUGGUAAUUCAAAUAACUAAUCCUAAACUAUAAAAAUGGUAAUUCAAACCCCUCCUCUAGGAUAAAACUCAAGAAACAUCAAGAAGGGAGAUGUUCUACAUCAAAGUGUAGAGAACGAUUCAAAAUCCUUGGUGAAAGGAAUGAAUGUUAACUAAUGUGUGUUUAUGUGAAAUUGUUAUGUUAUGAGUAUGUUAAGGAUAAAGAAAGGUUUAUGCGAGAUAAAAUUAUUUGAUGUUGUUUAUGCGAAAUGAUGUUUAUGAAAAGGUAUUGCGAAAAGGAUUUCAUAAAACCUUAGUCUUUUAGACAUUCUUUCAAAAAUUCAUCUUCCAAGAUGAGGUGUUUAGGCCAAGUAGAGAAGAAGGUUGAAGGAUUUGCAGCGAGAUGACCAGACGUUUUGAAAAUAGUUAAGCAUUGGUUGUUUGGUCAAAGUGUUGUAAUUAUGUAUCAAACACAUGUUAUUAAUAAACAUCUUGGUAGGUAUUUAUUAUACUUGCACGCCUACUCUCACAUUUAGCCAUAUGUUGUACUUUGUUUUCCACCUUGACUUUUAAUGACACACAAACCAACUUUCCAAGGAAUUCCCUUUCAUUUUCCUAUUAACUCAUAUUCUCUUUUUUUAUCAAGUCCUUGCUAGAGAAAGUGGACUUUGAGUUGUUGGACUUUAGUAUUGCAUGGACAUACAAUUUUGAAUGAAAAAUCCUUAUAAAUGGGGCCUUUGAACUCAUUUGAUGGGUUGGCUAUUAUAUUUGGGCUUUCACACCAAAUGGAAUUUCUUUUUCUUAUUUACUUAAAAAAAAAAGAAAAUUUACCACGCCCAUUUUUUUUCAUCUAUUUCUCUCGUCCGGUUCUUUCAUCCAACGGGUCCCACAACUCGAUUAUGAGUCUAGAGGAUACUAAGUCAAACUUAGUGGUUGUUCGAAUAAAACGCAGCUUCAAAUGUAAGUAUUCUAAAAACCUUAUUUUUUGGUUUAGUCUCGUUAACUAAGCCCAAUUAGGGUAGAAUUUCGAUUCUUUUUCUGUUGUGCAUGUCUUAGUUCUAUCAGUAACUCCUUUCAGGGUGAUAGCUCUCAUCAGCAGACUUUCCAUUGCUGGUUUCUUCCUUAGUCAUCAUUGUAUUGUUGUUUUCCACAAUAGAUAGGGUGAGUUGCAGUUUUACAUGAAAUGCACUGCUCAACCCACACUCUUUUCUCACUAGUUCCUUAUUCUCAAUCUUCAACGCAAAUUUCAUCAUCUGGGCCAACCCAAUCGGUUCCACGGUUUCCACUUCCAUUUUUAUUCAUGGGCUAAGCCCAAUCAUCAAAGUCUCCUCUAACACUACCGUUUGAAGAAAUGCUACCAGAGCUAAAUAUCGAUCAAAUCGGUUGCGGUAUUCUUCUACAUUCAUUUUCUGUUUGAUUGAGAAAAAUCUUCCAACCAAAGUUCCUUCUCGAAUUGAUCGAAACUGUACAAGCAUUCGUUCUUUCAGGUCAGCCCAAUUCUUAAAAACUUCCAACUCUUCUUGUGCUUGGUACCAAUCCAAUGCCAGAUCAUCAAAACUAAUAACGCCUGUGGUUAAUUUCUCUGAAUCGGUAAGAUCAUGUAUCUUAAAGAAGCGAUAGGCUCUAAAUGUGAGACCCAUUUCUAAUUUGAGUAAUGAAGUAAAAUUUGGCUAGGUAUUAAGAAUUUGGCGUUUGAAUAAAUCAACGAAAAGGAUUAAGCGAUAAAAAAAUUUAUGGUUAAGUAUACGUUAUUGCGAUUCAGUGGGUAGUUCGCGAAGGAAGUUGUGCGACCCAUUUCUAAUUUGAGUAAGGAAGUAAAAUUCGGCUAAGAAUUAAGAAGUUGGUGUUCAAAUAAAUCCAUGGAAAGAUUAAGUGAUAAGAUCUUUUACGGUUAAGUAUACUUUUUUGCGAUAAGUGGGUAGUUCGCGAAAGAAGUUGUGCGAUAAUGUAACACCCCGAACUCUAAGGUAAUUAAUUUAAUCGGACCAUUCGAUAUUUUUACUCUUAAUUUUUGUUCGACGUCAUUUUGUUGUUUUGUCUUAAAAAAAAAAAGUGUUGGAAAAGUCUUUCAUAAUAAUAAUAUAUUAUUAUUAUUAUUAUUAAUUAGCAUAAAAAAAAAGGAAAAGAAAAAGAAAUUAAAAUAUCUUUUUCCUCUCUCCCCUCUCUCACGCGUGCGACACCCCUCUCUCCAUCUUUUUCUUCUUCUCUUUCCUGUACCCUAACCCAGCCGACCAUCAUCUUCUCCCUUCCCUUGCCGUUCAGAUCCAUGGCCUCCGCCCACCGCCACGUGACCCUCUGCCCAGCCCCGCCGCGUGACCUCUGUCUCCGUCGAAGCCAAGUCCAGCCGUCGUCCAUUCCUUUCCUCUCUUCUUCUCCGUUCGUGAAGCCCAGUCGCCGCGUCAGAUCGUCGAUCGAUUUUGAGGCAGCGCGCACGCCUCCUUCUAGCCGCGCGUUUCCUCUUCUUCCAGCAACGUGUUUUUUCUUCUAACCGCGAUUCACAAACCGACGUACACUCUAAUCUGUUUGCACGAUGGUUUUUGUUUAGAAUCGAUUGCCGCUGCCCCUAUUUUUACUGAGAUCCGUCGAAGUAUUGUUGGUAAGAUUGAAGUUAUGAAAUUGUAGUCGUUUUCAAAACAAUUUAAGUAUGGGUUGUGAUGUUUUCAAGGUGUUCAAACGUUACGGAUGGGUUAAUUGACUAAUUUGAUAAAUUAUUCUUGAAGGUGUGAAAGGUAACCUUGGAUCACUUAAAUUCACAACCAAUUUGUGAAUUUUGAUUUCGGUUUGCCCUUAUUUGGAUUGUUUCGUGGACGAUAGUUGAUUAAGGGAGCUUCCCUAACUUUGAGGUAAGGGACUUUCUACUGGACUCACCUAAAGUUUUUGAGUUGUGUUGGACUGUAUGGAUGAUGAUUAAGAUGUACACGUUUGGUUGCAGACUAAAUGUUUAGUGUAUGUUGUAUUUGACUGGAAACAUAUAUAUAAAUACAUUGAUGUGUGAAUUGAUGUGGAUUGCCGAAAGUAUACAUGUGAAUGACUGAAAUUAUGCUUAUGUGUACAUGAUGAUAUUAAUAGAUUGUGCUGUAUAAAGAUUUGGAUGUGAACUAGUGAAUUUGUUUCGGUUGAAUGUGGAUUAUACUGAACUGUGGUUUGCGCUGGUAAAAAUGAGGUGUUUACUUGACAGAUGUAUUAAAAUGUUAUCAACGACCUUCGAACUUAAGUGAGAUAGGUUGACUGUUAGAAUGUUGAGUGAAAGAACUUUAUAUUUUGAAGUAACUGAAAGAUGUCAUAAAUUACCGUAAAGAUGGUUAGAAUGGAUUGAGGGGAAAAAUUGUUAGUUUUAUUGGGAUGUAUGCCUUGUAGGUGUCCUACGGGAUCACCAAUUUUUAUGCGACCUUCGGGAGCAUUAGACUGAUAUGUGUUUCUGCAGAACACUAGACUGAAAUGUACGUCCCUCGGGGCGUUAGACUGAAAUGUGCAUCCUACGGGAUCACAAGACUGCGAC